GGGUGGCCUAGCAUGCAUCAUGGGCUGAAACCUCUCAUUUCCUCCUCCCAUGGCACGUUGUUGGUUCAUCAUUGCUGCCAAAUACUGUUGCUGUUGUUGUUGUUGAUGGUAUGGGUUGCCCGGCAUUACAUCCGGACCCGCUCCCUGAAAGUACCCUCCGCCGCCGCCGCCGCCGUUCAUGGCUGCUGCCGGUAACCCUUGCACUGCUGGGAUGUUACCCAUUUGGGGUAAGCUCCCCAUUUGGCCCAUUGCCAUGUUCAUGGCAGCAGCCCUUUGUUGUUGACUCAUGUUCCCACCAUUAGCGCCGCCACCCAUGGUAGGGAACCCAUCGGAAACACCGUUGGGAGCACCCUUUUUGCCACCGUUCCCACCACCGUUGUUACCACCAUUCUUGUGUAGCUCCUGAGGUAAACCACCGCCAUUUUUACCACCGUUUUUACCACCGCCACCUUGAUAUGGAUUCCCCCCGUUAGGAUUCCCUCCAGCACCACCACCUUUCUUACCUCCAUUCCCAUUUUUACCCUCAUUGUUACCACCACCAACAGGCAUACCACCCCCACCGUUACCACCUUUCUUACCAUUACCCCCACCAUUAGGAGCAGCAUUUUGGGGACCCUUUUGGGGAUUCAUAAGCUGAGGGAGAUUACCAUUCAUCAUGCCAUUCAACAUCACCAUGUUGUUGGGCAUUCCUUUAGGAGGAGCAUUAUUCCCCAUCAUAGCCUUCAUCUUGUUAACUGGAUGACGAGGAUCAUCCAACUCAUCACCAUCAUCAAAAUCAUCAUCAUCAUCAAGAUCACAAUCAUCAUCCAAGUCAUCAUCGUCAUAAUCAUCAUCACUGAAAUCUUCCUCUUCAGCAAACUUGACAGCUUUGUUGUUUUGGAGUUGGUUGGGAUUAGGACCCAUUUUCAUGUCCUUCAACUGAGGCAGCUUCAGAUCUUGUAACCCUUUCAUUUGUUGAAGCUGUUGAAGAUGCUGGUGCAACUGUUGAGGUGUCGGCUGACCACCUUUCGGCUGGUUAUUGUUGUGGUUGUUGUUGUUGUUCCCUUUCUGACCACCCUUGUUGUUGUUUUGGUUGUUGUUCUUGUUGUUGUUGUUUCCACCUUUGUUGCCAUUAUCAAGCAUCUGCAUGUUCUUGAACUGGUUGGCAAGAUGUGCUUGAUUGUUGUUAGCUUUUGCAGAACCCCAAGGCUCUGCAUGCUUCCCUGAUUUUGCAAGCUUUCUUAUUAGAACAUUAGGAUCUACAUUUCCCAACACUGUUACCUUACCUUGCUCAGAAUCUAUGGUGGUCUUAAAAACCCCUGACAAAACAAAAAUAAAACCCCAAAAAACUCAACUUUAAAGUCUGAAACAUGAAAAACAAAUUAAUGUCCAAAAAAAAGAAGAAAUACCUUCAAUCUUUUGUAAGAUUUUCUUCACUUUGUGCUUACAUCCAUCACAGUGUAUGUUAACUUUGAGGACACAAGUCUGCAAACAAGCAAAAAAAAAAGAUUUUUUGAGUAGAAACGAAGUAAAGGUAUAAUCUUUAACAAAAAACACUAGAGAAACAAAAAUGAGAGAGAAAAAGAGAGAGAAAAUACUUGGAUCUUCAUAAACUCUUCUUUACUCAUUUUUUUUUCUUCUUUUCUGAUCUCAAAUACACAUACAACAACAAGGAGAAUGAAAGAGGGAAAAAAAGGGUUGGUAACAGAUCUGAAGAAAAAAAACAGAAGAAAUGAUAGAAAUUUACAACAAAUCCCAACAGACUUAGUUUUUGGGUUUGUUUAACAGAAGAAGAAGAAGAAAGAAUGAGAGCCGGAGAAUGAGAAGAAGAAGAAAGAGAAUAGAUGUUAAUAAGCAAAGCAAAGACUCUGCUAAAAGCAAAGAAAGAGAGAGUGCCGGCAAUGGCAAUGGCAACAGCAGGCAAGGCAAAGCAAAGCAAAGCUUCACUCUAUCUUUUGGAUCUUUAUUUAUUGAUAUAUUUAUAUAUAUAUUGAAAUUUUACCAGAAAGAAGAAUAGAGUGAUAUUUUUUUUUUUUGGUAAAAUGUGUAUUAGAGCCAAAUGGUGGCUUAGGCUUGGCUUGAGCUUUGGCUUUUGGCUUUGGUAUUGGCUUUGUAUGAAGAAGAAAAUAAAUAAAUAAAGAAAUUUGAGGCUUUUGGUGAUUUCACAAAUUUCACCGUAAGAGGGGGAUUGGAUUUUGGUGGGUCCAAAAUAAUAAAUGGAAUGUACAAAGAUCACAGAUGUGAAUGAACUCCUUGUCAGAUUUUUUACUCUCUUAUAAUACAAUACAAUAAUGACACUAGAUGGCAUUGCCAUACGCUUCCCUAUCCUCCUUAGAUUCGAUUUUAUUUUAAUUAUUUUCUUAUUUUUAAUUAAGCUCUUUGAAUUAUAAAUUUAUAAAUUAAUUCAGCCUUAAAAUUUAAUUUUUACAUCAAAAUAACGACUAAUGAUAUAUAUAGCAGUUAAUAGCGACACGAAAUAAGUUGAUGAAAGAGAUUCCAACAUUAUCUAAAUUAUUAUAUUUUUUUAUGUUUAAAUCUAACUUAAGUUUAGUCUAAUGAAAAUAAAAAAAUUUUGUUUUAUAUUCAUAUUUACAUAUUUUUUAUUAUUUAAAUUAAAUUCAAAAUUAGGAAAAAGAAAUUGGUCGAAAGCUUGAGUUUGUACAUGCCAGCCUAAUAAAUUUAACAAUCGAUCCAACAAAAAGAACUUACCAUAUAUCAUAUGAUUGGAUUGCCUUGGUGUAUCCAUUUUACAACCUUCAAACAAGCACAUAUUAAACCCAUAUAAAUUUUAUUCUUUUUUUUCUCAAUAAAAGUUCAACUAAAGUGUACUCUUACAAUAUUUCUUGAUUUAUAAAAAUCGAAGUCUUGGAAAACCCCUCAUCAAAAAAUAAACACAACCCUAAAAUUCUUGCUACUCGAUCAAACCGUUAUUGGAUUUCUUCCGAUUCAAUCAAGCACAUAUUCAAUUUCUCAUUCAUUUUUUUUCCUAAAUUGAAAAUUUCCCACUCCAUUAAAGAGAAAAACUAUGUUGAAAAGAAAUAAAAUUUGCAAUUAUCAAUUUUAUGAAAGUAUAAAAUAGAUUAAUGCUUUUUCAAAGAAUUGAAACACUUAAACAUAAUACAGAUAGUAGUAUACAUCUCAGGCCUACAACAAUCACACCACAUCCUAUAGUCAAAGUAAGAGAAUUUUUUUUCAACCCUCCUAUAUUUGAUUGGUCUCCUUGUCUCAAUCACUUGUAGGAUGCGCAUGAACUCCGUUGUCGUCCAAGAUGUCUACCAAAACUAACUAAACUAAAUUUAUAUUAAAACUAAGAAAAGAAAAGAAAAACAAAAAAAAAAAACAAGAAGUUUCAAUCAAGGCUAGUUCAUGGAGUUUGGAGCAUCAAUCAUUUAAUUUUAACGGUAAAAGGAGGCUUGGAUGAGGAGAAGCGUCAAUCGAAGUCUGGUGAUGAUUCAACAACCAAAAGAAGAUACUUGGGAUUUGAUUUGGUUGAUUUCAUCUUAAACCAUUCAGUAAUUGGAAGAAAGCAACGAAAAGGUAGCAAGUCGACACCUUCAAUUGGCCAAAAGUGACCUGAAUUAUGGUGAUUCCAAGUAGUGGCUAGGGUAUGGAGAAGAAGGGAUUAGCUUUGUUUUGUUCUGCAAAGGAAUAAGAAAUGAAUAGGCAAAAGAAAAAAAAAAGGAAAAAAGGAAACUUACGUGUGAGAUAUUUUUAUAAUCUUUCUAAUAUUUUAGAAUAUUGACAAAUUGUAAAUAUUAAGGCUACUUUUUAAGAAUCAUUACCAAAUUGACAUAAUAUAUAAACAUUGACGGCUAAAAUUGUUAUUAUACCAAUUUUAAAAGUUGUUACAUCAUUUUCCUAUUAGUCAGUUAACAAUUGGUGACAAAAAAAAAAAAAAGAGGCAAAUCCAAUAAGUUGAGUGCCCAUUUUAUUACUUUCCAUAGUUAGGUGAUAAAAAAAAAACCUUACUAAUAAUGGCCUUGUUCCUUAGACUAAGGGUGCCUUUGGAUAAAAAUUUGCGAUGGUGAGAUGGAAGAUCAAGAGAUUAUUCUUUCUCAUUGCGUUACUUUCAUAUUUAGGUAACUUAUGGUGCAAUCCAUUUAGCAACUCUCAACCAUGGAAAAAAAACCCUCCAAUGAAAAUGGCGUUUGUUUUUUUAAAAGUGUGCUUAUUUUUAUUCCAAAUAAAAGAUGAUGCAUGCUUACUGAUUGGCUUCCACUGACAGUGGUAUAUAAAAAAUUUAAUAAAUAAUGAUGUUAAUAUGAAAAUUGUUAUCAUAUAAUAAUUAUAUCAAUUAUUUUAUCUGAUAAUUUAACAAGCACAAACUUGAACAAGUGGAAGUCGGGCGAAUAGGAUUGUUUCUUGAAUUAGAGUGGCUUAGUUGUUUCAGAUUAAAGCAAAUGGUUUUGCUGGGAGGAUUUGGAUUAUUUGGAAUGAAACGGUUCUAAUUAACAUAUUGGUUAUGCAUCCUUAAAUGGUUCAUAUGAAAGUUAGCAAUGUGUAAGCUCAAAUAAAAAAAAAAAGAAAGUUAGCAAUGUGUAAGAUUCCUCUAGUUUUCUCUGUUCAGCAAUAUAUGUUAACCCAUAACAAAUGAUGAUGAAGGAACUUUAGUAUACUUAGAAUUACAUGGCAGAUUCGAUUUUGAAGCUGUGGUUGAUUGCUAGAGAUUUUAAUUCAGUUUUGGAGGGAUCGAAAAGGGUAAGAGGUGUUGCUAUGUCGCGAAUAGGUUGUAAAUGGUUCCAAUCAUUCGUGUUUGACAAUGGGCUUCGUGAUUUAGGAUAUAAUAGACCACAAUUUACUUGGAGUAGAAGGAAUCUUUCAUAGAGGCUUGUUAAGGUAGUUUGUAAUUCAGAAUGGGAUCUUUUUGCCCUAAUUGUGUGGUUCACAAUUUCCAUUUAUUAAAAUCGGAUCAUAAACUGAUUUUGGUCUCAUUAAGGCCGGUUAUUAAAAUGGGCUGUAGGCCUUUUUUAUGUUUAGCCAACUGGAUGAUUGAUCGCAAGGUUUUGUGAUAAGUUUUAAAUAUUUAUAAUUACUCAUUCUUGAACUAACUAUUAUCGCGAUGUAGGCAAGUGUACCUAUCGAACAGUAGUAUAGUUUUAGCAAGACCGGAUUGUCAAACCCAAAGAAACUAAAAGGACUAGUAAUGACUGUCUUUUUAUUAUCUAGCCUAAGAAUAAAGAGGUUUUGUUUUAAUUAACUAAUUAUCUAAACUAAGAACUCACAGAGAAAAGAAUUGAGGAAUUACUUUUGGGAAAAUCGAUUGAAUGAAGACAAUAUCUAAGGAAAAAUCCACCUAGACUUUACUUGUUAUUCUGGCUCCGAAUCGGACGAUUUAUUCAUUCAACUUGUUCCGUAGAGAUCCCUAAGUUAUGUUAUUAUCCCUAUUCAAGACUAAUAACGUCUAAUCCCUAGAUUGAAUAACCGAAACUUUUCUCUAAUUAACACUCUAGGGUUUCAUUAACUCGAUCUAUAGAUCUCCUUAUUAGGUUUCACCCUAAUCCGGCAAAAUCUUGUCACCCUAUUUCUAGGCGCGCAAUCAACCCCGCUUAAUUAUGACAAAAGUACUCUUAGACAGGAUCUAUUCCUCCUCUGAAUAAGAGCAUGUCUUGAAUCAAUAUCCUGGGAUAUCAAAACAAGAAUUAAGAACACAUAAUUAAGAACAAGUUAAAUAUUUAUCAUACGAUUCAAAAAAUAAUAACAAGAUUCGUCUUAGGUUUCAUUCCCCUUAGGUAUUUAAGGGUUUUAGUUCAUAACUAAAUAAGAAAACAUCUCAGAAGAAUAAAGAAUACAAAACAUAAAGAAAACCCAAAACUCCUGAAGGGAAAUUGAGGAGAGAUCUUUAGUCUUGAUGAUGAAUUCGGCUUCCAAGAUGGAUCAAUCGGCUUCCUUAGAGUAAUUCCUUACCCCCUCUUCUCCCUCCCUUUUUCUUCCUCCUCUAAGGUGUAUUUAUAGGCUUUGGAAUACCUAGAAGCCCUCAAAAGUGGCCUUUUCCAAAUUGGACUUAACUUGGGCUCGGCAGGGACACGCCGGUGUGUGAUUACUUCAGGCCGUGUUCGAGCCUGUUAGAAUGGCACGGGCGUGUGCUAUACCCGUGUGAGGAGGUCUAGGCCGUGUUGAUCUCGUACUUUGGCCCAUUUUUUCCGUUUUUGGCCCGUUUCUCAUUCCUUUCGCUCUCUUAUGCUCUCCUAAGUAUAAAACAUGAAAUUAAAGCAUUAGGAGCAUCGAAUUCACCAAUUCUUAUGGAAAAUCAUCCAUAAAAUGCAUUAAAAAUGGGGUAAAAAUAUGUAUAAUUUACGGUUUAUCAAAUACUCCCACACUUAAGCAUUUGCUUGUCCUCAAGCAAAAUUCUCAACUCAUAAUCAAAAUAAAUUCUCCUCAACUUACAAUUCCUAUCGAUAAUAUCUCAGAAUAAUCCAUAGGUAAUCAUACAUUGAGAAUUUAACUAAAAGAACAUAAAAGUUUCAAACAUUCCAAGUUGAGUAUUUAAUCAUGCAAACAUAAGUGUCUCUCCGCAUCUAAAUAAUUACCUUUGAUUUAGAAUAUCACAGAGUUUCACAUCCUCACUAAAGAUUCACUCAAAUCACUUGAGGUGUUUAAGGACAAUAAAUGAAGCACUCAAUAGUCAAUAAUGAAAAGUCAUUACCAUAGGCUUUCAUGAAAAUCAAAUCUCCACCACUAUAAUUUAAGAUGAUACAUCAAUUAAAAGGUCUUUAGAGGGUUGAAGUGAGGCUUAGUUAGGGGGUGUGGUCACAAGCUGAAAGAAAGGGUUAGAAUCGAGAUUGAAUUAAAAAAUUGCCUAACUAGAAAAAGAGUUAAUCUUCACUUGCAUACAAUAGAGCUUCUCUCAGAAAAUGAAAGUACAGAUAUGUAUACGUAGUUUUUUUUUGAAGAACAAGUUAAAAUAAUAUAGACUAACUAUUAAGAACAAAACAUAGCUAGGCAGUCCAUUCAACUCAAAUCUCGACAAAAAUAGGGAUUAAUUUAGGGGAUUUCAACAAUAACGGGUUAAAGGUUAAUAUUAAGGGUAAUACAAAAAAUGGCUUGUUAGGCUCAAGGAGGUUUACUAGGGGUUAAUCGUAGAGGUAGGCUUUUCAUGGCAUGAGUGGGUUAAUCUUAAGUGCCUUAAUCAUUUGGACAUAUCAAAUCAAAUGGUGUGGUCUCGACAUACAUAAUCAAGCAAGUUCUAGAAUAGUAGUUCAAUACUGACGCACUCAAAGCAAUAAUGAAAGUGAGCAUGAAAGAAUUAAUAGAUGCUCAAAAGGCUCAAAAAUCUCACAAAAAUUAUGGCUUUUUGAUGUUUAGACUCGUGAAUUCCAAUUCAAAGUAAUACCUAGACUUUGAGAAACGACCUAUAAUUUUAAAUUCUUAAUAAUCAACUUAUCAUGCUUGAUUCUCUAAUGUCUUAAAGUUUAAAUAGUCAAUGCAUAAAUCCCUAUGUUUUAAUUCAAGAUAUAUCAAUCAAAAUCAUAAACCAAUCAAAAUUUAUCCUAAAUAUGAUAUGAGAGCUUUUUAAGAGAACAAGGCAGUCAUUCAGGGAUUUUUCUGAUAAUGAAAUGAAUGCCUCCCCCCACACUUAAGAUGUACAUUGCCCUCAAUAUACAAAGAUAGGUAUUAUAAAAUAAAAAUAAGAUAGGGAGAGAAGUGAAACUUCUUGUAUGAUGAAUUCCUCGAACUAGAGUUUUAGAGAGUAAUUGGUUAGAGAGUGGAGGAGGAUACUCCAGCGAUCGUAGAGGUUCAUUAGACCAUAAGUUCUGCGCCAAAAGAAUAUUAUAUCUAGUGGUAGCUAUGGUCAUGGUCGAGCAGGACAUGGCAAUCGUGGAGAACCUUUCGCGGUGGAGUUUUAGUUCCUAUGUGAUGAUGAGCUUAAGAGCUCUAUAUAACUGUGAUAAAAUCAGGAACUUUUUAGGGGAUAUAAGGAAGAAUAAGUACUCGAAAAGAAAUAGCCAAAAUUAAUAAUUAAAAAUAAAAUUCUAAAAUCUAACAAAAAUAAAAAAUAGUUUCAAUAAAAAUUAAAAACAUAAAAUAAUAAAUAAAUAUUUCUAAACAUCUUCAUCGCUGGAUGGUUCGCGAGGUAGGACUGGCGAUGAGAUGUGGAGGUGUUGACAAAUCUGCUGUAGAGUAGCAUCAAUGUUGUCAAAUCGUUGAAAACACUGCUGCUCGAAUCAGGUGAGACGCUCAGAGAUGUCAGCAUAUGAAGCCGCCACAUGAACUGGACGAGAGGGUGGUGGUGGUUGAGUCGGUGGGUCUUCAUGCUAUGAGGGGACAUCAUCAGGAAUGUCCUCGUAGGCCUCCUCCUCGGUAGAUUGGCGAGGCGAUGCUGAGGAGGGUAGGUUCCUCAGCGCCUCUCGAUCAUCCUCAUGCUAAGCAUGCUCGAGAUGCCUUAUGGAGACAUCUGGCCGAUGAGAGUGAGGGAUGAUUAUUGGGCCGCGGUGUUGAGAAGCCCGAAGUGUCAUGCCAGCCUAGUCACGUAGUGGCCAAUGGAGAUGACUCCCUUCCGAUGCCGCUCUGUCUGGUGCUGAAUCGCAAGGGCGAUGAAAUAGGUAAGGUCGAUAACGUGCCCUUGCAACAUGCACCAUAAGAAGUAAACGUCGUGGGUGUUGACGACGUCAGUGCUCUCUCACCUCCCUGUAAUCGUGUGAGCUGAAAUAGCAUGUAAGUACCUCAGGGAUGGUGGGAGAACUGAUGCCUUGGAGCGGCUAGGAUUGUACAAGGCCGUGCUAAGAGCCAAAGUGUGCCAGCACUUCGAGGGUGAGAAAUGUAUGUGGCGACUGAAAGCAUGUAGUUCAUUCUCCUCUCGAAACUCCUCCGUAUAUAGGCCUAGAGCAGCACCAAUCUUUGGGACGCUUAGUUGGCGGAUUAGUCUACCUAGGCGAAACUAGACCGUACCGGGAUCAUCAUACCUUGUCAUUACAAUCUGGAGAUGGAACGUUGAGUAUAGUUCCAUCGUAAGCUUGAGGUAUGUUGGCUCAAUAAUCCCAAAGAACAACUCCCAAGGGUCGGUGGUUAGGAGAGCCCGAAUCGCAUCAGCCAUCUGGACUUGUUCUACGGUAGCUAAGUCGAUGCAACAGCCUGCAAUUAAGGGUCGGGCCUAAAGUAUUUGGAACAGUUCUUCCUGGGGCCCUCGGGGAAAUUGUAGAAGAGGGUGACGGAUUUCUGCGGUUGGGCCCGCGAAAGAGGACACUCCCUUCCUCUACUUCGAAGCAAGUACGACGAUUUUCUUUCCUCUUGACGAUUACAUGGUACCUGCGAUUAGAAUCAUCAAGUCAUCUUGAUGAGUGGUCGAAGUAAAAGGAAUACAAUUUCCAACUAAAAAGUAGACUUUCAACCACAACCAAACAUAACUAAUAUAAUAAUUACGUGACUUUGUCAUUGUAUGUAGUAAUGGCAUGUGUAAAAGAAUGAAGCUUUCCUAACAACAUGAAAUGUAUAAGAAAUAAUUGAACAAUGCAAAUUACAUGAGAGAUAUUGGCAUGGGAAUAUCAUGAGAAUGAGCAUGGUAAAAUCAUGGGUAUGAAGUUUCCUAAUCACUUGAUUUAACAUGCAAUGUAUAAUAACUAACUAAAAAUGCAAACUAAAUGAUAAAGUAAUGAAAGAAAUAGAAGAUAGUUCAAAAGAAAUGGAAAUUAUUGUAAUAAUAAGCGUUAGUAAUAAGUAAAAUAGAAGUGAAGAGAGUAAACAAACGCUAAGGGAGAGAGAUUGGGCGUCAAAAACGAAGUUGAAGGCGGAGCACGGGCGUGGCAGGGGGCCGUGUGGAGUUGCAGCGGCUAGGGUUAGGGUUUUUGAAUGGGGAAAAAAGUGAAUAGUGCAGGGUAUUUAUAGAUUUUGGGGCACACGCCCAUGGCGCACGCCCGUGUCCCCUAAUUUCAGCCCAUGUGAUUCGCGAAUAUCAAAUUUGGGUGCGUCUGACAUUUAGUACAUGCCCGUGUUCCUCGAGCAUGUGGGUUCACACGACCGUGUUAAUUUAACAGGUUCGACCACGGGUGUUAGACACGGGCGUGUCGCACGCCCGUGCUAGUUUCUCAAUUUCAACCACGGGUCUUCUACACGGGCAUGUCGCACGCCUGUGUUAUUUUAGCUGGCUCGACCAUUACCGUAUCGCAUGGCCGUGGCAUUUAAUCGUAGCCCGUGUUGGGAAAAUCUUUUGCCCUAUUUUCACACGGCCUUGAGCACGCCCUUGUGCUUGGCCGUGUCUCUGUGGAAACACCUGUAUUCAAGAUUUCUAUUAGUAAGUUAGGAGUUAAAUACCAAAAUUCAAAGAAAUUAAUAUUGUUAGUGCUCGGGUUGCCUCCCGAGAAGCGCUUAUUUAUAGUCUAAGCUCGACUUACCUCUCCGUUGUAUGGUCAUGGUGGUUCGAGGAGUUUAUACUCCUCAUUCCUGUUAUCAGUGUCAUCAAAAUAAGGUUUUAAACGGGUGUUGUUUACCUUAAAAGUGUCGAACCUGGGAUGACUCACCUCCACCAUACCAAAUAGAAAAAUACUGAGUACCGUAAAAAGGAUUUCCUCAUUCGGUGUGGUAGUGACAAUGUGGGGAUCUUCGGCAUCUAAUAAGACUUUAUCACCAAACUUAAGUUGAUUUGGAGAGGUAUCGGGCUCGUUUUGGCGUAGUUUCGGUUUAUCGUGUGUUCUCAGUUUAUGUGAUCUUCAUUCGUCUAGCUCCUCUAUCCAUAGCCUUCAUUCUUUAUGAAUGUGUCAUCUAUCAUUUCUGGAACAUGGCUCGUGAACUUCUUUGAAGCUCAAUUUUUGUAAAGUCAUAUUGUUAGUUUUAGUAGAUUGGUGUGGACCAUUACCUUCAAUGUUCGAUGUGAUGCCAGAAUUAUGAGCUUGAAGGGUGAUCGUUUCGUCUCCCAUACGAAGUGUAAGCUCACCUGUGCCAACAUCAAUAAUUGUUUUAGCAGUUGCUAAAAAGGGCCUCCCUAAAAUCAAAGGGGUGUUAUUAUCCUCCUCUAUGUCUAGAACAACGAAAUCAACGGGAAAUAUGAACUUAUCUACUUUCACUAGUACAUCUUCAAUAAUACCCCUAGGAAAUCUUAUAGUUUUAUCUGCCAAUUGAAUGCUUAUCCUAGUUUGUUUAGGUUUUCCAAGACCUAGUUGCUUAAACAUUUUGUAAGGCAUGUCGUUAAUACUAGCACCUAAAUCAGCUAAUGCAUGAUUUAUAUCUAAACUACCAAUUAAGCAAUGAAUUGUAAAACUCCCUGGAUCUUUCAAUUUGUGGGGUAGCUUACUCUGUAGAAUAGCUGAGCAGACUGCAUUUAGCUCCACAUGCGACGCUUCAUCCAACUUCCGCUUAUUUACUAAAAGCUCUUUUAAAAAUUUCAUUGUAUUCGGCAUCUGCGACAAAGCUUCAAUAAACGGUAAGUUAAUAUGUAAUUUUUUCAAAAGUUUAAGGAAUUUACCGAAUUGUUCGUCUGAACGGUCUUUCCUUGUCGCGUUAGGAUAUAGGACACGAGGUUUAUAUUUUUCAUUCACUAUUUUGUUAUGACUUACCUCACUUUUACCUUUGCUCACCAUAGUUUCUUGCAUCAAUUCUGGCUCAGGCGCAAUGAAUCCUUCCUUAUAUUGAGUACUAAUUGCGUUGAGGUGUUCCCUUGGGUUAGGUUCAGUACUACUUGCUAAGCUACCUUGUAGUCAUUCAAAGAUCAGUCUAGAUAGCUGGCCUAUCUGAGUUUCGAGUCUUUGGAUCGAUACUUGUUGAUUUUUAAGUGCUGUAUCGGUAUUUUGGAAACGGGUUUCUGACACUGAUAUGAAUUUCGAGAGCAUCUCCUCAAGGUUUGGUUUUUUCUCUUGUUGAUAAGGUGGCUAUUAAAAACCCUAAGGAUUUUGUGGCUUUUGAUUCCUUUGACCACCCUAGGAGAAAUUUGGGUGGUUCCUCCAACCUGCAUUCUAAGUAUUACUGUAUGGGUUAUUUUGAGAUCUAAAGUUAUUGUUACCCAUAUAGUUGACUUGUUCCUCUUCGGUUGUAGGAUUGAAAGAUUGAUAUUCUGUAUGCACACCUCCUCCACUUGAGCCACACCUCAUUACUGGAUGUACCUGCGUAGAACCAAGUAAACCAUCAAUCUUUUUAUUGAGAAGUUCUACCUGAUUUGACAGCGUAGUAACUGAGUCAACGUUAUAAACGCCGGCUGUUUUUGUUGGCUUAGUGCUCAUGACUUGCCACUGAUAAUUAUUCAGUGACAUUUCUUCAAUGAAUUCAUAAGCCUCUUCAGGUGUUUUGUUGUUGAUGGUUCCUCCAGCAGCUGCGUCAAUCAUCUGUAUUGUCGAGGGAUUCACACCAUUGUAAAACGUUUGAACUUGCAGCCAUAGAGGUAACCCAUGGUGAGGGCACCUUCGCAAUAGAUCAUUGUAUCUCUCCUAUGAAUCAUAAAGUAUUUCUAAGUCUAUCUGCACAAAAGAAAAGAUAUCAUUACGUAAUUUAGCCGUUUUAGCCGGCGAAAAAUAUUUUAGUAAAAAUUUUUCGGUCAUUUGUUCCCAAGUAGUAAUUGACCAUCGUGGUAACGAGUUCAACCACUGUUUAGAUUUAUUCCUCAAUGAAAAAGGGAAUAACCGAAGACGAAUGGCAUCAUCAGAAACGCCAUUGAUUUUAAAUGUAUCGCAAAAUUCCAGAAAGUUUGCUAAGUGAGCGUUGGGAUCUUCCUCCUGCAAACCAUCAAACUGAACAAAUUGUUGUAUCAUCUGAAUAGUGUUAGGUUCUAAUUCAAAAGUAUUUGCAGCUACAGCAGGUCUAACUAUGCUAGAUUCAGUUCCUGAUAAAGAAGGUUUAGCAUAAUCAUACAUAGUGCGUGGAGCAGGAUUUUGAUUAAUCUCAAUUGCAGGAGGUAGCUGAUUGCCUUGGUUUUCAGCCAUCUCUUCGGUUGGGGGUUGAGUAUCGUCUUCUUGCUCGUUCUCUACGUAUCUUAAGCUUCGCAUUAUUUCUCUUUGGUUUUUACGAACUAUUCGAUCGAUUUCUUCGUCAAAAAGUAGUGGCCCUGACGGGUUUCUUCUAGUCAUAAACUAUGAAAACCUGCCAAGAGAAAGAAAGAGUAGGUUAAUAAAUAAUAAUAAUGAUAAAAUUAAAUUAAAUUGCAAGAAAAAUAAAUGGCUAAAGUAAUAAAAAUUAAGCGUUCCUAAUAUUUUAGUUCCCCAGCAACGGUACCAAAAACUUGAUCGCGAGGUUUCGUGAUAGGUUUUAAAUAUUUAUAACUACUCGUUCUUGAACUAACUAUUAUCGCGAUGUAGGCAAGUAUACCUAUCGAAUAGUAGUAUAGUUUUAGCAAGACCGGAUUGUCAAACCCAAAGGAACUAAAAGUACUAGUAAUAACUAUCUUUUUAUUAUCUAGCCUAAGAAUAAAGAGAUUUUGUUUUAAUUAACUAAUUAUCUAAACUAAGAACUCACAGAGGAAAGAAUUGGGGAAUUAUUUUUGGGAAAAUCGAUUGAAUGAAGACAAUACCUAAGGAAAAAUCCACCUAGACUUUACUUGUUAUUUUGGCUCCGAAUCGGACGAUUUAUUCAUUCAACUUGUUCCGUAGAGAUCCCUAAGUUAUGUUAUUAUCCCUAUUCAAGACUAAUAACGUCUAAUCCCUAGAUUGAAUAACCGAAACUUUUCUCUAAUUAACACUCUAGGGUUGCAUUAACUCAAUCUAUGGAUCCCCUUAUUAGGUUUCACCCUAAUCCGGCAAAAUCUUGUUACCCUAUUUCUAAGCCCGCAAUAAACUCCGCUUAAUUAUGACAAAAGUACUCUUAGACAGGGUCUAUUCCUCCUCUGAAUAAAAGUAUGUCUUGAAUCAGUAUCCUGGGAUAUCAAAACAAGAAUUAAGAACACAUAAUUAAGAACAAGUUAAAUAUUUAUCAUAAGAUUCGGAAAAUAAUAACAAGAUUCAUCUUAGGUUUCGUUCACCUUAGGUAUUUAGGGGUUUUAGUUCAUAACUAAAUAAGAAAACAUCUCAGAAGAAUAAAGAAUACAAAACAUAAACAAAACUCAAAACUCCUGAAGGGAAAUUGAGGAGAGAUCUUCAGUCUUGAUGAUGAAUCCGGCUUUCAAGAUGGAUCAAUCGGCUUCCUUGGAGUAAUUCCUUACCCCCUCUUCUUCCUCCCUUUUUCUUCCUCCUCUAGGGUGUAUUUAUAGGCUUUGGAAUGCCUAGAAGACCUUAAAAGUGGCCUUUUCCGAAUUGGACUUAACUUGCACUUGGUAGGGACACGCCCGUGUGACACGCCCGUUUGCGAUUACUUCAGGCCGUGUUUGAGCCUGUUAGAUUGGCACGGGCGUGUGCUAUACCCAUGUGAGGAGGUCCAGGCCAUGUUGAUAUCGUACUUUGGCCCAUUUUCUCUGUUUUUGGCCCGUUUCUCGUUCCUUUCGCUCUCCUAUGCUCUCCUAAGUAUAAAACAUGAAAUUAAAGCAUUAGGAGCAUCGAAUUCACCAAUUCUUAUGGAAAAUCAUCCAUAAAAUGCAUUAAACAUGGGGUAAAAAUAUGUAUAAUUUACGAUUUAUCAAUGCUUCAUACUGAAUUUAAAGGUCUUGUUAGGGAAAGUUGGAAGGACGACGUGGAGGUGGAGGUUAAUUUAAAAUGGUUCCAAGAUAUGGUACAAGAUUGGAACAAACAUGUUUACAGUAAUAUUUUUGUGCGCAAGAGGAAACUGGUAUCUGAGUUGAAUCUGGUGUAGAAAAUUUUAUAUUUAAGGCCUUCGAUACGACUUUACAAACAUGAAUUAGUAUUACAUAAAGAGAUUGAAGAAAUCUUGAAGCAUGAAGAAUUGUUAUGGUUCCAAAAAUCUAAAUCGAAAUGGCUUACAUUUGAUGAUAGAUAUAUAAGCUAUUUCCAUGGACACGUGAUGGAAAAUCAAAAGUGGAAUAGGAUUGAGGGGCUAAGGUUUGAAAAUGAUGAAUGGUGCUUUGAUGGAGAUGCAUUGAAACAACAAGAAGCUAUUCAUUUCAUGAAAAGUUUCAAAGGAAAAAAAUAUGGGAUGACUCUAAAAAUUGACUUGGAUAAGGCGUAAGAUAAGAUUAGAUGCGAUUUUUUGGAAGACACGCUAUCGGAAGCAGGAGUACCACGUUUAUUGGUUUCAGUAAUUCUAAAUUGUGUAUCAUUAGCCUCACUCCAAGUCCUUUGGAAUGGUGAUGUCACAAAAACUUUUAGACCAUCACACAGAAUAAGACAAUGAGACCCUCUUUCGUCAUAUCUAUUUGUACUAUGGAUGGAAAGUUAGGACACCUAAUUGAGGGGCCAGUCAAUUGUGGGAAUCGGUCUCCAAUUUUCUUGUUAAGAAGGGCCCCAGCUUUAUCUCAUUUAUUUUUCACAAAUGAUCUUAUUUUAUUUUUCACAAAUGAUCUUAUCCUUUCUUGUGAAGCCAAUAGGAAUCAAGCAGCUCAAGUUAAUGAUAUUCUUCACAUACUCUAUCAAUUUUUUGAGCCAAAAAGUAAAUAAAGAAAAAUCACUAGUAUUUUUCUCUCUCAAUACACCAAUUGAUUUUAGCAGAUGCAAUUUGUAGAUAUGUUGGUUUCAUGCGUAUGGAUGAUCUUGGUAAUUAUCUCGGUAUGCCAUUGUUUCAUAAAAGAGUCACAACUAAUACUUUUGAUUUUGUGGUUAGCAAAGUUCGAAAUAAGUUAAAUGGGUGGAAACCAAGGAAGAUAUCUUUGGUAGGAAGAGUUAUGUUGGUAAAAUCAGUAUUGCUUGCUAUUCCUAACUAUUUCAUAAGUACAGCUUGUAUGCAUGUUUCUAUAUGCAGUGAAAUUAAUAAGUUAGCUCGUAAUUUCAUAUAGGGAACGACAUCGGACCAGGAAACCAACAUUAGUGUCUCGAGGGAUUGUUGUCGACCUCUCAAUUUCGGCGGUCUUGGACUCAGAAGCUUAGUUUAUCAAAACAAUUUUUUUUUUUUGAAUUUGAGUUUCCAGAUUCUCACCAAUACGGAAUCUUUGUGGUGCAAUUCUUGAGAAACAAGUAUAGUGUACAAUAGUGUUACCGGAGUCCAUAGCAAGCAGUAAUUGCUCUUAUAUUUGGAGAUCUUUAAUGAAUGUAUGGUCAGAUGUGAUUGCUAAUGUGUUCUAAUCUUUAGGGGAUGGUCGACUUACGAACUUCUAGAAUGAUGUAUGGGUUCGUCAAUUUGGUCAACUUAGAGGCUUUUACAUAGGUGUUGGGCAACCAAAUGAUACUUUUCGUGUCUGUACCAAGUACAUUACAACCAAAUUCGGAACUCCCAACAACUAAGAUAUCUUCACUUUUCCUUUCAUAUUUUCUGAGAAUAACUUUAGCAUCACUUAACUCUUGCUCAUUUGGUUUCAAAGUUGCAUUCGUUUUAGUAAUCAUCUCAUUCUUUUCUUUGAUAGUUUUAUCAAGCACUACGUUAGCCUUAUUAAGGUUAGCGAUAACAUCAUCUUUUUCUCUUACCAUAGUUUCAAUCUUUCUUUUUCUUUUUUCAGAAUGAUAACUUCUUCCCUCAAGUACUCAUUUAAUUAGCAUAAUGUUUCCAUGCUUUUCAACAUUUGGCUGAACACUUCCUCUUGGUCAUUAAAAAGAACAUCAUUGUCGUGAUUUGAAUUUGAUGCUUUAAUCAUUGAAGGUGGAUGAGGGAUAGGACAACCUUUCUUCUUGGACUUCAUUAUUACAAACUGUAGCUUAGGAUCUCAUUCGAACAACUCUCGAAGCUCGCUUUGAUACAAAUUGCAAAGUAACACAAGGAUACUCCAAAAACACAUGAAUUUGAUCAAAGACACUCCAAAAACACACCCUAAGUGACACCACAAACAGACUAUUUAUAGGUUGAUGCAAUAGUUCAUUCAACAGAGUUUUGAUAAGCUUUAAACACCUAUUUAAAAGAUCAAAUUAUCUUAUUAAUUAUCUAUAGUAUAUAUCUCAUAAUAGCCUUCAUAAACAAGUUCCCCAACAACUUGAAAUACUCUAAAAGAUAAGGAUAAGAACUCAAUCGUUAUCAAAUAAACUCAUGGCCUCAUCACAAGGAUCGGUUAAUUUGAGUCCUAGCCAAACUAUAUUGUUGUUUUGUCAAAUAUUCCACAAUUUUGUAGGUCAUAAACAUCCAACAUCAAAGAGGCCAAAAACCUUCCCAUGGCCCAAGCAAAAAUUCAUUCUCGUUUUAACAGAACAUGGAAUGAGCAAGUAAAAAAGACCCCAACAGUCGCCCUGAUUUGAUUCUACAUUGUAAUUAGUCGAACAUUCAUUUAUACAUAUAUUAUAUUUGUGAAUGUACUAUAUUUUUAAUAUUUUACUUUUUUUUAAAAAAGAAUUUAUAUAAACAAAAAAACUCAUUUGUGAUUAUUUUUUCUUGACAAACAUAUAGAAGAAAUUAUAUUAAAUAUGCAAACUUCUAUUUUUAUAAAAAGCAUGUAUAAUCAUAUCCAACUGAGAAUUUUGGUUGGAUAUAAAUUCUUAUAUCCAUUUAUUGUAACUAAUUAAUGUUUAAUAAAUAUAUAAUAUGCGUUCUCUAUAACAAUUAUUUUUAUAAUAAUAUUUCAUUAUAAUAAUUAAAUUUAUUAUAAAAUUGAUUUUUAUAUUUUAUUUUUUUCUUUUAUAUCAACUUUUCAUUUAUAACAAUAAUCAUAAAAUAUGAAGUACAGUCUUUACUAAUUUAGUUUUCUAUAACAAUCUUUUGUCUCAAAUUUAUGUAAAAUUAGUUUUAUUCCAAAUUAAAAUAAAAAUAAAUAAAUUUUAGUUAAUAUAUUAUUUUAAUAAUAUGUUUAAAUUUUAUAUAAAAAUAUAUUAAUCAUAUUUUACUAAAUAAAAAUAAUCUUUAAUAAAUUUAAUUAUAUUUGUAAUUUUUAUUAAAGAUACGAUCUAAAAUCACUAACUACUAAUAUUAUAGUUUUUUAAUUUAAAAAUUUAAAAAUUCAAAUAUGAUCUAAAUUUUAAAUGUUGUUAUAGAUAUAUAAUUGUCACAUCUCUAUCAUAUUCAAAAUUUUAACAGAUAAAUGAGAUUGCUAUAAAGAGAACUAACUUUAUAUGCAUAAGUUUAAUUUUAUUAUACAAUUAUUUUUUAAAUUAAGUAGAUGGAGACAUUUUUUUAAAUGCUUUAAUAUAUAUUAAAAAUUGAUUGCAUCUCAAUAUUUUUUAUUUUUAAAAAAAUAAAAUUUGUAAAAAAAUGGUAAUAUUAGUGCUUGCUCAAAGGUCAAGUUGUAGAACAACUAGGCCCACGACACCACUAAAUUAAAAUUUAGCUACACUUCCUAAAACUCCAAAAUAAGAAAAUAAAGGAGGGAUUUAAAGAACCAAAUAGAAGAUUCAAUAUUUGGUUUGGUACACUUAACAUUUACUAUAUAAGUCUUUAUAUAGAGCCCAAGGUCUCACUAUCUUCGUUUUUCUAAGCAAUGUGGGAAAUGAGUUGUUAUAUAAACUCACAAUCACUUACUUUUUUAUUCCUAAAUAAUAUGGGAUUCGUUCCUCUACUAACAUAAAAUUUAAAACUAAACUUAGUAUCUAAAGACUAUUCACCAAAGUUAAACUUCUUACAAUAUAAACAUUAACCAAAUAUAUUUUUCAAUAAGUUGGUGUUGAUAUUCAACACUCCCUCUCAACACUAGCUUUCACCACGUCAAACUAAUGAUAGAAACUUCUGAGCUUGUUGUCACAUAAGCCUUUUGUAAACAAGUUUGCAAUCAACUACACACGGCUUCUUUUGGAUUCCGACAAAUUCUGCAACUUCUUCUUAUCACCAGUCAUGUGAUUUGAGCAGCCGAAAUCAACUAUCCAACCAUUCUCAUAAUCAAUUUGAUUGGAUGUUACAAUUGUAAAAGCCAUCUCCUCUUCCACAAUAAACAGUGCAUCGACAUCCCAUUCUUUUUCAUUGUUAACGGUAGCAAGAUUACCUUCCAUGGGUUUUUUCUUUGACCAGUAGGUGUGCACCUUGUGACCCUUUUUACCAAAAUUUUAGUAGCUCCCUCUGAACUUUCGUCCAUUGACAUAGGACUUUGCAGCUCCCUCUACACGAGAACUCCCUUCAUUUCGUAAACUCUUUGCCUUGUCCUAAUUUCUUUUCAAUCCACCUUGUUGCUUGGUAUUUCAACUGCUCUUGUUGGCAUAAAGCGCUUGCUCAUCCUCUUUCAGUGGAGCUCUUCACAUAUUAUUUACUGAUGCUUCUUGACCAACAAGCAAAUUCUCAAACUCAACAAGUGAUAGUGGGGUUUGCCAUCCUUGUACUAUAGCAACAAAGCUUCUAAACUUUGGUCUCAAACCAUGGAUAAUUACCCUCUUCACCUUGGUGUCCUUGAUUGGAUCUUAUGGAUCCAAAUCACCAAUCUCUCGCCAUAACGACUUCACCUUAUGGAAAACUACAAGAUUGUCAUGUCACGUAGCGUCAUCGAUAAUAAAUCGCCCUCGAGAAGUUGAAGCUUUAUGUCAUUUCUCUUGGAGGACAAACUUGACAAUGUAUAUUAUGCUUCUUUGGGAGCUUUGGCAUCCCGAAUAUGCUCCAACACGUCAUUUUCAAUCGUCAUCUUCAAAGAGAAAAUUGUUUUACUGGAUUUUAUUUUCCAUUUUCUUAGCGUGCCACUUGCAUCCUCGGCUUCUAGUGGUGUCACUUCAUUUCUAUUGGUAACCUUCCAAAGGUCUUGUUCUUCCAUAUAAGACAUUGUACAAGUUGAUCAUGUAUUAUAAUUGUUGCUAUUAAGUUGCUUCAUUUCGCCAAUUAUUCUCACAAUUAAAUACUUAAAGAGUGAAAGUAUUUUAUGAACAAUGUAUCAGGAAGUUCCCAGAAAAGAGAUGAGGGUCACAACAAACACUCUUAAGUACCAAGUCUUCAUUAGCCAGAACCUUUCCUAGACAUGCAAUUUCACACUACCACACUUCCUUCCAACAACUAAGCAACUAAGGAUAAUCUUCAAGUAGCUAUGAUAAUUUAUUUUCUAAUGUGGAAAAUUAAACAAUGCUACAACUAUAGGGCAUACUAAGAAAAUUUUCAGUCCUCUAACCUGGCUCUAAUACCAAUUGUAGAACACUUAAAUUCACGACACCACUGAACUAAAAUUUAGCUACACCUCCUAAAACUCCAAAAUAAUAAAAGAAAGAAAGAAUUUAAAAAAUCAAAUAGAAGAUUCAAUAUUUGGUCUGGUGCACUUAACAUUUAUUACAUAAGUCUUUAUAUAGACCCAAAGUCUUACUACCUUCGUUUUUCUAAGCAAUGUGGGAUAUGAGUUUUUAUAUAAACUCACAAUCCCUUACUUUGUUAUUCCUAGAUAAUGUGAGAUUCAUUCCCCUAUUAACAUAAAACUUAAAACUAAACUUAGUACCUAAAGACUACUCACCUAAGUUAAACUUUUUACAAUAUAAACAUUAACAAAACAUAUUUUACAAUAAUUUGGUGUUGAUAUUCAACACGAGUUACCUAUUUGAGCUUGAAAACCUGUCCAAUAUUUAGAAUAGUUUGAAGAAAAAUAUUAAGCUAUAAAAAAAUGAAAAUUAAGCAAAAAAAAAAUAUUAAGCUUGAUUAACUUUAGUGUUGGGCUCGUCUUCCAAAAUUUAAACGUCAAGCCCUACCUUUUCCAUUUUCAACUUUAUAAUAUGUUUAUUUUAUUUAUGUAUCAUGUAAAAGUUAAAUACACUAUUAUAUUGUAAAUAGUAAAAUAACAUUUAGUUGUUGGUAUUUAGAAAUUUUAAAUAUAUAUAUAAUGAUUGUAAAACACGUAUAGAAUUACUAAAUAUUAAAUAAAUUAAAAAAUAAUAUAGACAAUUCAAACAAGUUCAAGUUAAUCAUUUACAAAUAUUACUGGACAUUAACAAAUUUAAGAUUUACAUCUCAUCGAAUAAUACAUAUAAGUAUAGUUUUCAUCCAAUAAGAAAAAAAUUAAUUUUUUUGUGGUGUAUAAAUUUUUUGAAAUUAUUAUCUCAUGCAUAGAUUUAAAACUAAUUUUUAUUUUUAUUUUUGAUGUAUUAGUUGAAAAAAUAGAUAAUCAACCUUUGUAUAACAACCACCUUUUAUAAUAUCCAAAUUUGUUGUAUAAUUAAUUUUUUAUAUUUUAUUUUCUAUCUUUAUAACAACUUUUCAUCUAUAACAGCAACAACCAUAAAGUAUGAAACACAUUUUUACUAAGUUAGUUCUUUAUAGAAUCUUCUUGUCUUAAAUUUUAGUAACGUUCUUAAGUGAAAUAAAAAUAAUAAAUUUUAGAAUAUAUUAUUUCAAUAAAAUAUUUAAUUUUUUAAAGGAAAUGUUAAAAUUUUAUAUAAAAGGGAAAUUAUUUGGUACACUUCUAGUUAAGUUUUUAGAUUUUAUAAGUAAGGUCAAGGGUUGACAAAUCUCCUAUAAGAAUAUAGUAAAAUAUUUAAAAAAAAGAGACGCAUAGUAUAUAAUAAAAAAUAUAAAAAUAUAUUAAUCAUAUUUUAUUAAAUGAAAAUAAUAUUUAAUAAAUAAAAUUACAUUUGUAAUAAAUUUUAUUAGAGAUGCAUAGUAUUAUUAAUAUAUUAUAGUUUUUUAAUUUAACUUUUAAAAAUUAAAUAUGAUCUAAAUAUCAAAUAUUAUUAUAAAUAUAUAAUAAAUACAUGUAUAUAACAUCCAAAAUUUUAACAAACCAUUAAUAUUUUCCUCUAAAAUUUAGGAAGAAUUAAGACAGGUAGAGUUGUCUGAAUUUAUUAAAAAUUAAUAAUUUCUCCCAUGUAUAAAAUUCACCAUCGGUCUUUUAAAUGCACAAGUUGCCUAUAUAGGAUAUCUAUCCGAGGAUAGGUUAUAUACUGCCUCCCAUGAAUUUGAUUCCAAACAAUAUUUUUUCUUUUUUAAUAAUUUGGAAAUGUUUUUGAAUCAAAUCCAUUAAAUUAUCCAUUUUUAAUUUAAUCUAUCUAAUCAAUUUAAUUAGUUUUAAUUAAAUAAAUUCAUAAAAAAUAAAAAUGAUUAAAAGAAUUAUAAAACUUUAUUCAACCUGUUUUAAUCUAGUUCAAUCGAUUUGUAUUGAUCCGUUGAUCAAUUAAUUCUAUGAUUUACUUCAGAUAAUGUAUUGGUUGAUUCCCAAUUUCGUCUAGUUUCAACAAUUUUGGUCAAUAUUGUUCAAAUUAAUAAUAAAAAAUAAGGUAAACUACCAAAAUAGUUACUUUUGUUUGCCUUAGAUUACAUUUUAGUCACUUAUGUUUGAAAUGUUACGUUUUAGUCACUUACGUUAUCGUGUUAUAACAUUUUAGUCACUAAGCCAUUAAUUGACAUUAACGGUAAGCUGACAUAGCUCGUUAAAUUAUCAUUUCAAACAAAAAUUUUAGGUUAAAUCCUACAAUGAAUUCCUAUAUUUUUUUCAUUUUGAGCAAUUUAAUUUUUUUUUCUUUUAACUUUCUUUCUUUUUUCUUUAUCUUUCAUUCUCCUCUACUUCUCCCUCUAUUUUCCUCCUUUCUUCAUUUUUUUAAUGUAGUUUUUUUUAUGUUUUACAUUUGUUAAAACUAGUCCACAAGCUCGCCUCACUUGAAAAAAUUAAAUUGUUCAAAAAAAACUGUAUAAGGACUAUCUUUAAGAAAUGCAAAACAUAAAAAAAAACAACGUUAAAAGAAAUGGAGAAUGGAGGAAAAUAGAGGGAAAAACAUAAAAGAAUUGAAAAGAAAGAGAAAAAAAGAAGAAGUUAAAAUAACAUAAAAGAAAAAAUUAAAUUGCUCAAAAUGAAAAAAAAAUAUGGGAUCAAUUUUAUAAAUUAAUCCUUUUCUUCUUUUUUUUUUUUGAAAUGAUGAUUUAACGUGUCACGUCAGCUUACUGUUACACCGUUAACGACUUAGUAACUAAAAUGUUACGACGCGAUAAAGUAAGUGGCUAAACUGUAACAUUUCAAACAAAAGUGACUAAAAUGUAAUUUGAAGUAAACAAAAGUGACUAUUUUAAUAGUUUAUCCUUAAAAAAAAUUUAAAACAUAAAACAUUAUAUUUCUAAUAUUGAAUGGAUAAUAAUUCAGAGGUGGUAACUCAUUUUACUUUUUGUUACUAUGAUUGUACUGUAAUUAGUUGUAAACAAAAAUAAUUAGCUUCUGCUUCACUGAUAUUUCAAAUGAUGUAGGGGAAUGACAAAAUAAGACGUUUCGAUGCUUUGACUUGUCCAACUCGACAUGGGCAAUUUUGUCAUUACUGAAAUGGGGUAAGGUUAAAAAGUAAAAAUAUUUUCAAUUUUAAGGACUGUUAUAUAAUUAAAGGUGAGUUUGGAUGAGCAGUGUGUUUAGUUGUGUUUAGUGUAAAAACAACGAUGGCGGUGAGAUUAGAUACUGUAGCAAUACUAUAGCGUGAGACAAAAAGUAAGUUAAACGCACCUCACCACAGUAAACCGCCCAUCCAAACGAAACCUAAGUGUAUAAUAGUAAUUAAGAUAUAUAUAUAUAUAUUAAAAAGGUAAAAAUUUCAAAAAAUAAAUAUAAAAUUGAAGACAGGUUGAGUAAGAUGAGUGUUAAAGAAAAUAAUAUCCAAAUUGAGGAGGGUUAAAGCUAAGCGGGCCGACCCCUUGGAUGGGUAGAGGGAUUAUUUAAGGGGGGUAUUUAUGGUGAUUUUUUUUAUACAAAUUUUAACAUUUUAAUAUGUGUAUGUUAUUUUUUUUAUAUUGUGCACGUGUUUGAAAAAAAAAUUAUAUCCUACUUCAAAAUUACCAAAUCAAUUAAGGGUGUAUUUGGUAUUAUUUUUUCGACUUUUACCAUUCAAAAUAUUUUUAAAAAGUACGUACUUUUUAAUUGUAACAACAAUAUUAAAUCGAAGUUUAAUUGUAAUAUAUUUUAAAACUAUAGAAAAAUAGAAAAUGGUUUGUAAAGCUAUAUUGAAAGGGUAUGGUUAAUGUUGGAAAAAAAAGAGAGAGAAUAAUUAUCCAAGUUUCUAGACUUGGCAUGCCUAGAAAUAAGACUAUGAGUGCUACCUUUGUUUUAUAUAGUAUAUAUAUAUAUAUAUAUCUCAACAUACCAACUAAAUUGUUGAAAAUAAUAUUGCUUUUUACUUCUUUUUCACUUUAUUUUAAAUUAGGAAGAUUAAUAAACCUCCUUUCCUUGUUAGAAGGUAUUACCUAAGAAGGAAGUUCAAAGCCAUGAGUACAUGCUUGGUUAUUAUCGUGCAAGAAUGGGGUUGUUGAGUUGAAUCCAUUUAAUUAAAUCCAAGAUUGAAAAUUAUUAUUUUAAAUAUUUUUAUAAUAAAAUGAGAGAAAAAAAAGGUAAAUGAUAACUUUUUGUAAAUAAAUUUAGUUAAUGAGACCUUUCCUUCUAUAGUAGAAAAUAAAAUAUUUCUAUUUUUAGAUAAAAAUUCGAAUUAAUUUGACUCGAAUUAGUAUUAUUUUUAUAUGAAAUUAAUUUAAAUGAAGUAAAAAAAAAAGAGUAUAGAAAUGAAAUUACAAAGAAAUAGUUUGGUAUGAAAACAUUGGUCCAAAAAUAGGAAAGUAGGGCAACAUGGGUAUAAAUUUUGUGCAGAGAGGGAUUGCAUUAUUCAUUUGAUGGAGGAAAUAUGAGUAUUAAUGGACAACAGUCUGCCAAGCCUAAGCCUUCCACUUCUUCAUAACAUUUUCUUUACGUUUUGCUUUCGGCUUUUACCUCAAUAUUCCACUACUGCCUUCCAACUCUCAUUUUUUAUGCCAACCUAUAAUAACUUUAUCACUUCAAAAUUCCCUUCCUCAACUACAAAAAUAACUUCCAACACUUUGAUUAAGUGUAAGGGUUUGAUUAAAUCGAGUAAAUUUUUCGAAUUAAUCCAGUUGAUAAAUUUUAUUUUAUCAACUUAACUUGACUUGAAAAUAUUUAGAAUUAAGUUGAGCAAAGUAGAGUUGAAUAAAUUUAUUCGAGUUAAAUUAAAAAAGUUAAACGGCCAUAUUGAAAUCUUAUUGACAAUAUGACUAAAUUUUAAGUUAAAAAAUAUAAAUACCAUAUAUAUAUUUUUAUAUAUUUAAGAAAUCUUAAGAAGAAAAUAAGAAAAAAAAAGAUAUAAUUAGAAUGAAAAACUAAAUUUGAUAAUUUACUUGUUUAAAGCCUCAAAUUUUGUCAUUUGGAUUUUUUAAAUUUAUAAUUUAACAUUAUUAUAUAAUUUUUAAUAUUUUUAAUUUUUUGAAUAUAUAAAUUUUUGGAAAAAUAUAUUUUAUAAAUAUAUUGAAUUUCUGAAGAAUAUUUCAAAUUUCUUUUUUUUGUAAUUUUUUAGAGUGAUCAAGUUGCACAUUUUCAAAAUUGUCAGGAUCAAUGAAUAUUUAUACCAAUUUUUUAUUCGAGUUUUAAAACUCAAUUCAACUUGAAUUCAAAAAUCUGAAUCACUUAUUCGAUUUGAUUUUUUUAAAAAAAAAAUUUAAUAACUCAAUUCAAUUAACUCGAAAUUCAACAAAAAAUCGAAAUAAAUCAAAUUUUGUUCAACCCUACACUUUUGAAAUAAAAAAUAUUGUCAAAAAAUGCUUUCUUACCCAAAUGUGAAGGCUAACAUUUAGUCUAUUUUUGUUUGAAAUUAUUAAAAUAUUUUUUUAUUUAUAUUAACUAUUUAAAUGAUAUUUAAAAUUUCAAAUUAAUUUAUAUUUAUAUAUUAUAUUAAAUUAUGUAAAUACCAUUUAUUGUUAUAAUAAUUUUAAAAAUAUUCCAUGUAUUAUUUUUAUAAAUAAUUUAUAUUAAAUAAUUAAAAAUUAUUUAAAAAAUAUAUUUCAUGUAUAAUUAUAUUAAAUUAUUUAAAUAACAUCUAAGUUAAUUUAUUUUUUUUAAUUUCCAGCAUGGACAUUUUAACUUUACAAGCUACCCAUUUUCACUAUACUUUUUAAAAAUAAUUUUUCCAAACUAAAAUUUUCAAAAACACUUUUCAACCACAACAACAAUAUUAUUGUCAAAAAGUACUUUUAAAAAAUAAAGUGUUCAUUUUAAAUAGUGUUAUAAAGUAACAAAUAGCAUUUAAAUAAUGUUUAAAUUAGCUAAUAUUAUGAUAUUUUAACAAAAAUAUAGAAAAUAAUUUGUUAUAAUUUGUUGUUAAUAUUUUAAUAUAUAAAAAAAAUUUAAAUAUUUUUUAAGCAAUUAACUAAAGAAGGGAAAGUACCAUAUGUUGGAGAGAUGAAAACAUAAUUAAAUUAUCAAAGUGCUCUUGGGAGAGAAAAACUAAAAAUUUUAACUUCUUCAUUUGGGGAAAAGUGAUUUAGAAAAGUAAAAAAUAAAUAAAAAAAGUUGCUUGUUUAACAUUCGUUUUGCUUCAAAAAGUGCUUUUAAUAUCAAAAAUACUUCUAAAAAGCAUUAUUAAACACAACCUAAAACUUGUAACCACAAUCUUCAUAACAAUGUUGGCAAAAAAAUUAUUUAUUUAUUUUUUAUAGUAUUUAAUUUUUUAUAGAAUAUUGUGUUAUAUGUUAAUUUCAUUUCAUUUUGUUUUAUUUGUCUUUAUCUUUAAAACUUGCAUCGGAAGUAUUCAACAACCUCUUGACUUAGUAACAAGAAUAUUAAAUUAUAAAGCAUGAGAGUUUGGGUUUGAUCCCAAAGAACCCAUCUCUCACCCUCAAUUAUUAAAAAAAAAAAUCGUAUUGGAAGUAAAACAAGUGAUGCAUACAAUAAAUGACAAAAUGAAAAUAUUUGGUAUACAAGUUUUUAAACUCCACAAGUAAAGUCAAGAGGUUGAUAAAUAUCUUAUAAAAGUAUAAUAAAGUAUUAAAAAUAAACAAAUAUUUAAAAAAAGAAAAGAAAAGAGAUAUACUACUAUCCGUUUAUCAAAUACUGACCCUAAUAAAAAUAUGCAUUUGAUUGAAUGCUAAUAUUUUCUUCAAAAUAAGUUCUAAUUGUUUAAUAAAUCGAAAAACAAAAAAGUUUAAAAUUAUCUUUUAGCGAGUGUUUAAAAACUUUAAAGUUAACUUAACAGCAACGGUAUCAAUUGAACUAAUAUUAUAUAAUUAAACUUUAUUAUUAUAUGAUGCACAAAAGUUAGAAAUUCUAAGGUAGCAUAGUAUGGAGAAUAGAAUAAAAGGUACACGAAAACUAACCCUAUAUGCAAUGAUGAAAUGAUAAAUCACGUUUCUUUGCAGCCCCUUUUUUUUUAAAAAUUUUUAAUGUUUGAAGUUUGAACCCUUCCUUUUUACGCAAAUUAUUGAUUUUUUUUCCCUCAAAAGCCUAAAACCCUCUCUUGCUUUGUUGGUUUUUCUAGUUUCCUUCUCUUCCAUUUGAAGUUUGAACAUUGAAGAUUUCACUUUAUAAAUGCAAAAAGGGGCAUUGAAUUGUGACCAAACAAAAAACACAAGAAAAAUGGGUUUCUCUCUCUCCCUUAAUUAAAACACAAUCUUGCUUAACUAUUGAACUCAACUUUACCCUGAUUUUGCUGCAUCUUUUCAUACGAUUCUUUGGCAUUCCACGGUGAAAAAGGAGGGGGAAUAAAAGAAAUUUGUUAACAAACACAAUAAUUUUGUCAGCCAAACCUUUUUUAUAUAAUAAUUAUUCAUUUUAUAUAUCUCAACAAUUUAAUCUAAUAUCUUCAAUCAUCUUAUUCUAGAGGCCAUUGUUGUAAGAGUCAGAUUAUGUUUUGUCCCCUCUAAAAAAAAGUACAAAUUAGUCUCUAUAACAUUAGAUCAAAUAACAAACUAACUCUUCUAUUAAAAAUUUCAUCAAUUUCUCUUGUUAAAUUGAUUCCUGUAUGUCAGAAUGAGGCACAUGUGGUGUCAGCUAUGCCAACUUUUAACAAUAGAAAUGGAUAAAAGUUUUAAUAAAAAAAAACUAGUUUAUUAUUUGAUCUAAUGUACAGGGACUAAUUUGCUCAUUUUAAAAAAAAAGGAUAAAAUGUAAUCUAAUUCCUAAUACAAGGACAUCUAUGAUGCUUUUACCUAUUUUAACAUCACCUUGAUCAUUUUUAUUUUUUUUGAACUUAAAUUUAGAUCUACUGUUAAUUUUAAUCUCAAUCACUAUAAUAUCUAAUGUCAUAAUUAUAAUAACUAGUUUUACCACCUUUGUUGUUUUUAAUUUAUCGGAAUCAAUGGGGUCAUCACAUUAUCUGCAUUCUUUAUUUCUUUCUCUAAGCAUAAAAUUUUGAAUCAUCAAAUAUGUUGUAAUUUUUUCCCUAGUACAAAGGGGAUUUCAAGUUGAGGAUAGGAAAAAGGUUGCACAUGUUGAGAUUCAAAUCCCAAAGUUGGUAAAUAUCAUCUUCUAAAAUAUGGUUUCAUAAACUAAUUGAAUUAAACUCCAAAUCCAAUUGAAUUUAACUCGUGUUGGGUUGAGUUGGAAGGAUUUAGUGUCCAUUCAGUAAAGUGUUGAGGGAGAGUGAAGUUUGUCCUUAGCUAAGAAGUCCAACUUAGCUCAACUUGGUUGUCCAAAAAAAAAGAAAUAAAGUUUGACCAAAGGAAAAAAAAAAAAAGAAAAAGGAAAACAAAAUGGAAAGAGAGUAAAAGAAGGAAAGAUGAUGACAUAAGAGAAAUGGUGAGUGGUUGAAAAGGGAAAAGGAAAGGGGGGGGGGGGAAGGGUUAGGUGAUAGCCAAUUGGACAUUUUGCUAUUUAUAAAAAAACAAAGGCAGAGGACAUCACAUGAAGACCACAUGGUUGGAUCAGAUAGCCGAUGCUUUCUUAAUCAUUCAUUCACUCCAAUUUUUAUUUUUAUUCUCUGCAAAUAUUAUUAUUAAUAAUGGCAGAUGUUUUCGUAUAAUUAAAACUUAUUUGCUUUGUUUUUUAAUGCCUUUCAUUAAAAAAGUAGUAUUCACCAAGCUGUAAAAAUGUGAGUUUGGGGCUAAUUCUGACUUUUUAAGGUCAUUGUUUUCAGCAAAAGAAUUCUGUCAUUUACAAUUACAUCACUAAGCUAUUAGGACAAUAAUGUAACUGUAAUGCGAACAGGGGGGAGGGCACAAAAGUAAAUCCAGAAGGGCACAAUAAAUACAAGAGAAGAGAGAGAGAGCUUCACUUGAAUUUAAUGCUCUUGCCUGCCUUCACGCUUUUUUUUCUUAGUUUUUACACAUAACGUUUAUUACGCUGAAUGUCAAAUAUUUUGGUUCUUAAUUUUGCAAAUUUUAUUAAGUAUUGAAAAAGCUUUUAACAAAGAAAAUCAUAUAAGAUUGAUAUUUACAGAUUAAACGAAUAAAUUAUUUUUUUUUGGCUUUGAAAGAGCCUAAGCCCAAUAAGUGGGUACUAGGAAAAUUUUAACUCUUUAAUCCAAUUAAUUACAUUUAUAAAGUUUCUGGGAUCAUUACAAUUUUGAAAAAAAAAAAAAGAAAAAAAAGCAAAGGCUCAUUCACUAAUUUUUAAUACCAAUGUACAACAACUUUGCCGUAAUUAUAUCAGCCUGAAUCUCCCAACCUUUUCCUUUUUUACUCUUUUUCAUUUUCUGUCCCCUAAGAUUUAACUUGUAAUGGCAGAUAUUCCCAGAUUUUUCAUUCCAGAAGUCAAAAGAUAUUCCCAGAUUUUCUUUCCACAAGUUAAAAAGCUCAACUGGCCUUUGAAUGUUCAUCCCAUCUGUACCAACCUUUUGAAAAAACAGUAAAACGUUAAUAAUAGGGUCAGGCUACAUGACCAGACCAAUAGGCCCAACUCCUUCCAACUAGAUUAUAUAUUAAUAUGAAAAUAGUAUCUGGACAGAAUUACGUAAAGUUUCAGACUACAGCUCGGCCAAACCUACGGACACAUGCACUUCGAAACAAAGAGGGCUGCAAAUUAUAUACAAAACGUUACUAAAAAAAGUGAAAGAACAAAGAAUAAAGCUAAGAGUUUGAACACUUUACAUGGUUCUCACAUAUUCUUUCAAAAGCUUCAUCAAGCAGCAAACUUGGAAAAAACCCUAUGUUUAUUCACCUCAUUAAUAUACAUUGCUUCCAAAAGCGGAAAGCCAAAAAGAAAAAAACAGAGUUAACUUCCAACAUAUGCAAGCUUUACAUAUAUAAAAUAUCUAGAAUGUGUAAGUUCAGAAAUUGUUCACAAGAGAAAUUCGGGAUUUAACUCAAUUGGUUUAUACAACCACUCUUAAAAAGUGACAUCUAAUAAACCCGUACGAGCACAUAAGAAAGACAGUGAAGAAUGGGAAGACGAAAAAUAUACAAAAUAAUUGUAAAACAAGUGAAUCAGAGAAAGAUCACAAAGAAGAAUUUGUCAUACCGUACAAUCAAACUUCAAAGGAAGAAAACUUUUCAAUGAGUGCUGUUUAUCUUGAUUUCUAUAAGUUCUUCGAUAGGUUGUCGGCAUAUUGGACAUUUAUUUGACUGAAGCCUCAAUGUUUUAGCACAUUCACUGCACAUACACUGGAACCAAAAAAAAAAAAUUCUCGCAAGAAUCAUUUACUAGUUUGAAAAGUUAUAAUUUGAGAAAAUAGACAAAAACAAAUACAUCCUAGCUUCUAAUCAAAGAUUUCGAAGUUUGCAAGUAUAAAUUAAUCAAGCCUUUUCACCAUUACUAAAUUGUUAAAAAAGGCAAUUCAGCAACAAUUUCAGACAAUCUCAAAUCUAAAAAUUCUUCUAUAUUACCUGGAGUCGAGGGCGAUUACAUGUUCAAUUUACAAAAAAAAAAAAAAAAACUUAUUUGGAGAGUCUUUACAAGAUUAUAACCCCAUGGUAAAUUUUAGUUCUGAUAUUCUCCAUGGUAACCAAUAAAGAAGCUCCAAAUUCCAGACAAAAUCAAAGUAAAUUAUUCCAUCAUCAAUCAUGACACUCUUUCUCAUAAGUCAUAGCUAUAAUGCAUGAGCACCAACCAUAAAAGAUGAUCCUCUUAGAGGGUAUGAUGGUAAAGUGAAUGCCAUGUGGAACCCACAUAAUGGCAGAACGAUAAUAUGUAACUUUUUAAGUAAAUGAUGUGUCUGAUCCUACACAACAUCCAAGAGUGGCAAACACUAAUGCUUGAGCUUGUUUCCAUGUUAUUUUAAUCUAUGUUACUCAGAUUGAGAUGUGAAUGUUAGACAUGGAUGCGCCAGACACAGAUAUGUUUAAAUUUUUUCAAGAUUUCCAUGUGUUUGGAGGAUUUAUGAAGGAUUAUAUCCUUGUACUAAUGUCCGAAUAAGCAUUGGUAUUUCAAGAAAAAAGAAGAGUUCGGCAACAUAGAUUUUAAUCACACUCUUCCAAGAGUUCAUAAGUGCCAAUCUCAAACUAUUAUAUCCGGCUGAUUAGCAUGCAUUAUAUUCAAGGAAAAUGGGGAAUUCUUACCAUGUGGCGGCAAGGUAGGACCGCAGUAUCCUUGGGUUCGGUCAUGCAGAUAACACACUCUUUCCCCGGGUCACUAUCAUCAAAGCCUUCCGCUGCUGCUGAGCUUCCUAUUCCAUAAAUCUCGCGUAGUUCAUAGCGGACUCCAUCAACCCAUAAUAUCUGCCGUAUCACUUUUGCUUGGAAAGAGUUACCGUUCUUCUCUAAAAUGGCUUGAGUAAUUUGCAUGUGGGCUGAUGUACUUUGUGUGGGAUCACCAACAUGUUCAUCAGAUGAAUGCGGCAGCAUACAUGUUUCAGCAGAAAUUACAAGAGGGAAAACAUCCUCCCCUGGUGAUGGUUUCGAGAGAUCAUCCAAUUCAAAGAAACCUAAGUCAAUUCCUGUCCCAGGAGGCUGCUGGAAUCUCUGGCCAAGUCCCUUCUGAAAUGGGACUCUCACAGGCUCGAAGGCUUCAGGAAAUACGGGAACAAAUCUACAGUUCAACUCUUCCUUGGCAAAGUAGAAAAUGGUGAUACUGUAAAUCAGAAAACAACAUGAUUAGAUAAAAGCAUUGAAUGGAGUUCGCAUACCUUAUCAGACAAGUACCAAACAUUAAUUACGUAGUUACCUGGAAAGUUUUACAUCUAUUCACCCUAGAAUUACGUCAAGAAUAAUUGAGCCAACUUAGUUGCUUUUGACAAAACAAGAAUCUUUACUGUGAAUCUUAAUUCAGCUUCCGUGAUAUUUGAGAGCAAACUGGCUUUAAAAAGGCCAAAAAUUCAUUUUUCCACAAAGAACUGUAUCACUAGUCCAUACAAAACCAAUACCCUUUGAUAUCAUAUUACUUGCUUGGCAAGGCAGUGAAUUAUUGCAACCGACUGUUCUCUUUUCUUCAUAUGCAGAUAACUAAGGAAAAGUGUAAGUGAAGGUCUGAACUUAAUAAAAAAAAUGAACGAAUCAAUCCAAAUAAAGAAUUGAAUUAUUAUUCCUUUGAAUCAGGAUAUCACAGUCCACAGCUUAACAAAAUUCUAUUAUAAUCCAAUUUUAAGAAAUUUCCUUCCAUAGAACUUUGAGAACUCUUAACCUUAAAAAUCUCUAUAACAGAAGGCUUUUUGGCAUUAACUAUAUAUUCACAUAAAAAAAUUGCUUCAAAAGCAAGAAAAAAAUCCGUAAGAGAAACCCAGAUGGUAUUUAUCUCAACCCCAAUCAAAACAGUGGUUGCAAAGUCAAUAUGCCACUGAACCCCUCAAACAAAGAAUCAGACAUGCCUGAAAACAGAAGAAGGGAGAACUCUUUACAAGUCCAAGGAAAUUAAUGGCAGCUUAUAAAGCCAUGAAAGAAACUUCCAAGAAGCAAAUUUUCAACAUCUAGUUCUUUAUCUAGGUAUAGUAAAAACUUUAAAGAUGAAGAGCAGAUUUUUAAAAGUAAAGACUUUAUGGGGGAAAAAUGAUGGGAAAAAAAAACUAUAAGCAAAAAUUAACAUUAAAACAACCUCCCAUUCUUUUGAAUUCUAGGAUGUAAAGUUCCAAUACACGUGCUACCAUCCUAUCCCUACCUCUUCUCAUCAACAAUGUUGAGCAAAUGAUGCAGUUUAUUCAAAAGGUUCCAUGGACAAAUAACCGGUUCUAUGGUAGUAAAGGAACUAAGAGAUUGUGAAAAGAAGUCUAGGUAUUUAUCGUAAGUGUGCCAACAUUUGUGAAAAUCAUUUCAAACUUACAAGCAGUAGCAGACCAUAAAGGGGCAGUUCUUUAAUAAAAUAUAUGACUAAGCCAAUGGAGGCUACCUAAUGUCACUCAGCUCGCAUGGCCCAAUCUAUGCAAGUUCAGAAGUUUAAAACAUCAAGUCAUUGACUUCAGAAGCAACAGCAUAAUAGCAUUAUGAUCCACUGUUCAGCUAGCAAAAGCUUAACCAAUAAUACAUUCCAGGAAACCAGAACUUAAAAUGCUGGGUUAUCCUAAAUUUCUGUGAAGCAUAAAAUGUAAAAGGUGAUAGAAAAGUUAAGUGCCAAUAUCAGCAAGACAUGAUCUAAUACCGUAAGGCUACAUCGUAAUGGACAAGAAGAUACAUCACAGCCAUAGUCCUGGAAAAUGGAAUAGCGACAUAUGCUUGCUGAACUAGAGAGCUCUCUCUGUUAAUCAUUGCACUUCACUGUUAAGUUCCCCAGGUUCAAUUCCAAAACAUAUUUGUAAAGAUUUGGCAGCAGAUUUCAGAUUCUGAUAGUGACAUUGGACUUCUGAUUUUGGAGACCUUAUAUGGUUUACGAUCCUUGCAAUCUUUAUCCAAAUGAUUGAAGGGUCUCAUCUUGAGUCAGUUCUUAUAAUUGUUAGGUUCUAGUAUAGUGGAUUCUAUUUUGCAUCUCUCAUUCAUUCAUUUAUUAUGGUUCUGAAGUAAAGGCAGGGAUUGUUUUCUCUCCUAUACAGGUUUAUAUGGCACCGGGCUUGGUAUAGUUGUUGAGAGAAAAAAUGGCCAAAACAACCAUGACUGGAGCAAGCAUCCUACCUCAACAAUUGCUUUCAUAAGAACGCAUCUCUCCAAAUCACUGUUCACCAACUCAACAGGAAAAAACUAUCUUCAAUGGUCACUUUCCAUUCAAAUGGUGAUCCAAAGAAGAGGCUGAAGGUGCUAUCCUGAUGGUACAACCAUGAAACCAUAUAAAUAUGAUCUUAAAGGCUAGGUAUGGCUUGUGAAUUCAAUGAAUGAUUAUACUGGAAGAAAUAUUACUACCAUACAACAACUGAAAACCUUUGGGAGGAGGCUGUCAAAUGAACAUAUUCAGAUCAGGAAAAUUCUGGAAGAUUUCUACCCUUCUCCCACGCAUCAAUGCGUGAGAGCGCUUGAGCAUCCAUCUGGUCACUGUUCUUUGAUGCAAAUCUUCCAGAAGCUAUGCUCUGUUCCUUCAACUCCAAUGGUGUUAUCCACCUGUCAUUUUGAUUCCCUUUGAUAUUUAUUCUUAAAUUUCUAUCUUCGCUAUGGCUUGAAAUUUCAGAUUUUAUUAAACCCUUCUUCUCCACAUCUGGUAAUCCUUGAAAUGUUCAAAAUAAUCUGCUUAUUGCUCAUACCACUCAGCCUCAAAGGGAUGGAUUACUCCCAUAACCAAAUGCACAAGUACAAGGGAAUAAAUCAAUCACAUCAAUCAGGGCAAAUAUGCUGAAUAUUGGCAAUAUCAAGCAUCAAAAUGGCAAUCAUUCAACAAGCUAUGGUGGAUGAGAUGAAUGCUAUUUCUGAUAAUCAUGGGAUUUUCUUCCUGUACCACUUGGUAAACUUGUAGUUGGUUAUCAGUGGGUUUUUACUGUGAAAGUUGGAUUUGAUGGCAAGAUCAAUCGUUUUAAGGCACGUCUAGUUGCUCAAAGAGUUUACAAAGGUUCCUAGUCUUAAUUAUGAAGAAACUUUCUCUCCAAUCACCAAGAUUACCUUAGUUCGACUCUUGAUCUCCCUUGCUGCAAUGAAUCACUAGACUAUUCAUCAGCUGGAUAUUAAAAUUGUUUUUCUUCAUGGUGAUUUAUUUGAAGAAAUCUAUAUGGAGCAACCAUCAGGCUUCAUUGCUCAAGGAGAGCCUAGAGUAUGCCAACUGCGAAAAUCUCUUUAUGGUUUAAAGCAACUCCCAAGAGCUUGGUUUGGAUAGUUCAGUGUUGUUAUCCAGCUAUUCGGGAUGAAAAGGAGUGAAGCAGAUCACUCAGUCUUCUAUCGUCAUAACACUCAUGAAAAAUGUAUCUAUUUGAUUGUUUAUAUGGAUGAUAUUGCCAUUAAAAGUGAUAAUCAUGAAGGGAUAGCACAACGCAAGUAACAUCUUUUUGGUCACUUUCAAACUAAAGACUUGGGGAAGUUGAAAUACUUUUUUGGGCAUUAACGUAGCACAACCAAACACAGGCAUUGUUAUUUACCAGGGAAGGUAUGCAUUGGAUAUACCGGAAGAAAUAGGGAUGCUGGAUUUUAAACUUAUUGAGACACCGAUGGAUCCUAAUGUUAAAUUUGUUCCAGGACAGGAUGAGCCACUAAAGGAUCCUAGUCAAUAUCGAAGGUUGAUUGGGAAAUUGAACUAUCUUAUCAUCACAAUUCUUCUCCAGUAAGUGUGGUAAGUCAAUUUCCACAAGCUCCUUGUGAUAGCCAUUGGAAUGCAAUGAUGUGCAUCCUCUGAUACAUCAAACAUGCUCCUAGACAAAGUUUGUUAUACAAAGAUAAAGGAAAUACACAAGUCAUUGGGUAUUUAGAUGCUAACUGGGCAGAAUGUUUCUUCAUUGGAAGGAAUCUAAUAUCAUGAAAAAGUAAAAAGCAAGAUGUUGUGGCAAGGUCGAGUGCAGACGUAGAGUAUCAAGUAAUGACCUUAGUCACUUGUGAACUUAUCUUGUUGAAACAACUUCUUCAGGAAUUACGAUGUGAAACUAGUAGCCCAAUGAAGUUGGUAUGUGAUAAUCAAGCUGCUCUAAAUAUUGCUACAAAUCCGGUGUUCCAUGAAAGGACAAAACGCAUAGAGAUAAAUUGUCACUUUGUCAAACAAAAGAUCGAGCCAAAGUGUAUUGCCACGAGUUUUGUCAAUUCUAAUAAUCAACUAGCAGAUAUUCUCACUAAUGCCCUUAGGAAACCUCGAAUUGAGUAUAUAAGUAACAAGCUAGGAGCCAAGCUAGGAGCAUAUUAUCCAUACGCUCCAGCUUGAGGGGGAGUGUUAGAAUAUACUUGCUGUAGUUUAGGGAUUUAAAUCUUUAACUUUCUUAUUUUGUUUUCUCUUAGAUAGUAUAAAUACCCUCUAAGCGUGAGAGAUAACUAAGCUGAUUUUUCCAGAUUAUUUCUCUCCUAUUUCUCCUUUCCUUUCUCCCUUUUCUUCUUUCUUUUUUCUCACAGCAGCAGCCACCUCCCACGGCAACAGCUUCUCUCCCUCUUCUUUCUUUUCUUCUCAAUUUUACUUACUAUUUGUAUGGUCUAUUUUCCAUAAGAACAAGUUUCUGAUAUACUUACAAAAGGAGUUGCUAACAUUCAAGAAGUUAGUGUGUUACAUGUCAACUAAUUAUUAUUAGAUUAAAUUAUUAUUCUAUUAGGCGAUUUUAUUUAUGAGUAUUUUAUAUCAUUUGAGAGAUCUUUUUUAAUUAAAAGUAUUUUAGAGAGAUAUUAGGAGUCUUUCUUUAUUUAGAGUCUUUCUUUAUUUAGAGUCUUUAUUUUGGUCUCCUUAGCUUAUAAGUCAUUUAUUCAAAUAAGUAGACUUAUGUAACCUCUAUUUAAGAGGCCAAUUGGUAGCAACAAAAUUCAAGUCAGAUUAAACCAAUUUUUACGAGAUUUAAGAUUCUCUCUAACAAGUCAAGGCUUAAAGGUUUGGAAUUCCCUUCAACGAGUUUCACUUGUUCAACAUAGGUUAUUCGCAAGGAGGAGGUAAAAAUCAGGGAAAGAGCCCUGACAAGACAGACAGAUUGCCUGUGAAUCAUUCGGUCACAAGAUCCACCAGUCUGGACCGUAACAUAGUGGACAAGAGGGGAAUGUUCAAUUCUUUUUCCUGACUAGGGGGGAAAUGUCAUAUAACUUAGACUCAGACAAUCUUAUUAGAAUUUAGAUGCAUAAGAUCUUAUCUGGAUUAAGAUCGUUGCAAUCUUAUCUGGAUGAUUAUCUGAUUUCUUUUUAUCAAGCAAUUUUGUUUAUAUGCAGGUUCUUAAGAGGUUUAAGGGUCCUAUCUGAACCACCUUUUUUAAAGUUGAAAGCAGAUUUGUCAGGUUGUUCACAGAGUUUAUUUAAAGGGCUGUAAUUCAUACAUUUGAUUAAUGUUAUGAAAUAAAGGCAGUGCUUGAUUUUUUAUCCCAUAAAGGAUUAGACAUUUCAAUCGCCAACCCUAAGGAUGAAGAGAACUUUGCAAGGACUUUGAAGAGUAAGCCUAUCAAUUACAGUCCACAUUCACUAAUAUAGCUUUCAUAGUUCCUAAUGCAUAUAGGAUAAGGAUACUCACAUUUGAUUAGUUAAAGCUAGAAAAGCAAUAACCAAAUGCACAAUCCCGAACUCAAAUAAGAAAGCUCAUCUGCUCAUAAAAAUGUGAAUUGUAUCUUGCCUCAAAUAGAUUUCUAAUCCUAGCAGCAAAAAUGCUUCUAAAUAGUAUAAGGACUAGCUGCUGCUGCAUUAAGAUUUUUAAUCCUUCAGAUUUGGUAGGUUCAUGGCAUCACUGUCAAACGCAAUGAAGUUACAAGCACUAUUUUGGAAUCCAUAUAACAUCCAAACCCUAUUACAUUAUCUAAUUCUCUAUCUUUCUUUAAUCAUUUAAUGACCAAAGAACAGUUUUUUAUAAUUUCAGUUUGGUUUUUCAUAUCAAACUAGCUACACUAACAUCGGGUUUGAUUAGGAUUACAUUUUGUUUUUUCCAUUGGUUAUGUACUCAUGCUUUCAAAUAAAUAUUUCAACUAUCAUUUAUUUGAUUUUUUUUUUCAUCCAAAAAUAAAGUAAUAAACCUUAAACUAAACCCAUCUUUACUUUUUCCUCUAAAAAGAAGAACUUGAACCAGACCCAAAAUUAAGCAACAAAAGUAAAUAAUUUUUUGAAAAAAAUUACCUGCCAUCAAACAAAGCAUCAAAAACGAAAGAAACCAAGUGAUGAUCGGGAUUCUGCUCGUCUACUUCCAGCUUCAACGUAUCCUUGUGCACGUUCACAUCAUUCCUCACUUUCUUGGCAUUAUAAUGCUCCACAUAAGAAGGUGGCGGCUGAGGCGGCACCGCCGCCACGGCAUGAGCACGAAUCGGGGGCCAGGCACUAGCCUGGUUGGCGAAAUAUGGAGGAUAUUGAAUAGGGUAACGACCCAUGACAGGGUUUGAGUAACAGCAGGGGUUGUAGGGUGGGGAACAGUAGUAAUUGUUGGGAAUUGGAGGCGGUGGGGGUGGAGGAUGCGCAGGAUAAGGGUGGCUAGUAGAAGGCUGGGAUGGCGGUGGAGGUGGCGGAGGAGGAAGGGAAGUGGGUUCUUGGGGAUAAUAGAAAGGUGGAGGAGGUGGAGGGCCAUGGAGGUAAGCUUGGUUUCUCCUCCGGUUGCUAUUGCUUGUGUUGCUCCAUGAGAUGCCCAUGUUUGGAGAGAAAGAAAGUGAAAGGGAAAAAAGGAAAAUUUUCCAAGAAAAUGGACAAUUGAGGAAGAGAGUUGCUUUUAUUUCUUAGUUUGGUGAAACCAAUGAAAGUUCCUAACACUCUAAUUCAUUAUUGACUUUUUUGCUUUUAAGUCUGUGUUUAAAUUUCUAUUUUUCUGUAAUAAUAAAAUUUUUAUUACAAUUUUAUUAGGCUUUGAAUACAUCUUAGAACUCUGGCCUGAUAGGUCUAUUUUAAUUUGGGUGGGAUUUAAAUAAUGAUUUUUUUUAUUUUAAUUUAAUUCAAUUUGACUUGAAUUCAAUUUAAAUAAUAAAAUUUAUUUUUAAAUUAAAUUUUAAUUAUAAAAUAUAAAAAAUAAUAAUAAUUUAAAAAAUAUUUUUAAAUAGUAUAAGGAGUAUUUUUUUUACUAGCUCAACUGACCUUAAAACUAACCUGAGUUUGAAAAAUAUUUUAGAACUAAGCCUUCACCCAUUCACAUCUCUAAUUUUGUGUUCUAAAUUCUAUUUUUAUAUAAUUAUUGGUCAAAUUUAGGGUUGGUAAAAAAUCUAAUUAAAUGGGUUUCGACUCAAUGUGAUACGAUAGAAUCGGCUUUUUAGAUUUGAUUUAAGAGCGGGCCUUGAUCUCCAAUUAAUUGGAUAGAUUUGUAUUUAGGAAAAAUUCGUCCUGUCCCACUUUGUCCUCAGAUAAUUAUCAAAAUAUUAUUUAAUAUAUAAUAGAGUUAAAUAUAAAAUUGGUUAUCGAACUUGUCCACUUCUCCCAUAUUGGUACUGUUUUUUUUGUCCCAGAUUAGUACUCGAACUUUUUUUCGUCAACUGGUUUGGUAUUUUUUUUAACAUCGUUAAGUCUAGAACAAGUGACAAUACCGGACAAUGACAUAUGUUAUUAGUGACAUCAUGAUAUUAUUAUCAUCUAAAAAUUAAGUUAAAAAUUAUUAAUAAAUAAAAAAUAUAUACAAGAAUAAUAAAAAUAUAUUGCACCUUUUCUUUUCUUUCUUGAUUUUUUUUUCUUUCAUUUCCCAUAUUUGUCCUCAUCUUAUUCUUUUCUCCUUCGUCCUCCCAUAGCCUACCUUAGAUCCCAUCAAGCAAACAAAAUUGUUGCACACUGGGGGUACCAAUUUCAAACUUGAGGGUAUUUUUUUUUUGUUUCUUGAUAUUCUAAUUGGUUUUGUUAAAUAUCUAUUUCGAGUAUUCAAUUAAGUAUUUUAGUUGUUUUCAUAUUUAUAUUUUACCUUGAAUCAAAAUAUUAUUGUUUUAUUGACAGAUGUUCUUUAAUUUUUUUCAAAUUUAUUUGCAAAAUCUUAUAAAUUCUUAGAAAAUGCUAUCCUUUAACAUGAAACAGCCCUUAGUGGAAAUAAAAUCGAUAAAAACUCAAGUUGAACACAUCCAACUCAAAUAGAAAACAAAUAAUAAAAGCUCUUGUAAGACAAAUAAAUGAAGCAGGAGAUGAAAGACAGUGCAAGCAAAAGAAAAUGGAACAAAUUUAUGGAGAUAAUUCAGAAAAUCUAAGAAAGAAUUUUUUUAAUUUAUCAUUUUUAUAUAUAUUUUUAGAUUUUUAAAAAAUAAAUUAUGAUAUUUAAAAUAUUUUAUUGAUUUUUAAUAUGUUUUUUAAAUUGUGACAUCAAUGGCACAUAUUGUUGUCUGGUAUUAUAAAAAGUUCAGUUACCAAUUUAAGAUUAAAAAAAAAUCUUAAAUACAAAUCUAAAAGAAUUAGACAAUUUCAAGUACUGAUUUUAUAUUUAACCCUGUAUAAUACUAAUUUUCUUUACCCAUGCAUUGUAUGUAUUAAGAAGAAGUUUACAUGAAUUGGAUCGGGCCGAUUAAGAUCUAGAUCCAAAAAUGUUUUAAGCCUAGGCUCGUUUUCGACUUGACUUAGCUUGUCCAAAAUGUUCAUUUUACUAUUAAAAAUAAUAAAAUAUUAAAAAUAUAUUUUUAGUUGAUAUUUUAUAUAUUUUUAUAAUUAAAUUUAAAAUUUUAAAAAUAUUUUUAUUAUUUAAAUUGAAUUCGAGCCGACCGAACUGGCCUAAGGCACAAAAUACUUGACCAAACCUAGCCCAAAUCAAAUUAGGGGAGCUAAUCGGCCCAUGAAUAGGUCUAGUAUUAAUUAAACUAUAUAUAACUAUUUCUUAAUUUUUUUCAUAAACUUCUUAGUAAUAUAGUUAUAAAUUUAAAACAUAAUAAUAUAUAAGUUUAGUUUUAAAAGCAUAAUAUUGAUAUUAGAUUAAAUUUAAAUAAAUCUAAAGUUUUCAUAAAAAAAUGUUUUACUUGAUUUUCAUUGUUAAUUUUUUUUAAUAAUAUCAAUAUAAGUUCUGAUCAUAUCUGUUCUUUUUAACACAAUAUCUAGAACUACUCAAAAUGCCUUCACGACCCAUAAAUAUGAGGAUAAUGCACUUCAGCGCAUUCAGACUCACGUCUUCCUACAUUGGCAAUAAUGCCCAUGCUAAUCAAGUUAAGACUCAAUUAACAAUUUUUUUAAAACCUUUUUCAUGCUAAUUGAGUCUUAACUUGAUUGACAUUGAUAUUGUUGCCAGUGUAUGAGGAUAUGAGUUCGAGUGCGCUAAAGUGUAUUAUCCUCCUAUUUAAAAGUUGAGGAUGAGCUAUGGGUAGUUCUAAGCAUCGUAUUAAAACUUUUAGACCUUUUUAUUAAAAAAAUUUGUGAAGCUUUUAUCUUUUUUUUUGAAUUGUUUGUAUGUAUUUUCUUUUUAAAUUUGAAGAGCUUUUUAUGUAAUUUUUGGAAUUACAAUAUUUUUUUUAUGAUUUUCUCAAAUUUUGAAUAUUUAUAAAAUUUAAAUAAAUUGUUGUGAUAAUAUAAAAUAAAAUUUAAAUAAAUUGUUGUGAUAUAUAAAGUAAAAUAAUGUCAUAUCACCAAUGAAAUAAUAAGAUUUAUGUUACUCCAAAUAAAAAAAAGUGGGAGUCAAAGUAAAUAAAGGUGUAAAUAUUAAAGGCUAAAUGUAUUAUUAUACUUAUAAAUAUGAGGGAUAAAUAUCAAGUUUAUACAUGAACUUCGUUUCAAUGUGCAGUUUGAAACAUGAAGUUUGAUUUUGUGUAAUUAUAUGCAUGGACUUAGAUUGUGGUUCAUAUGUAUACAUAAAACUUUGAUUUUGAUUCAAUUGUACAAAUUUAAAGAAAUGAAUACAUACAUUUAUCUUCAUAUUGGAUUAGUAUAAUUGUCUGUGUAUGCAAUAUAUCAACAUAAAAUGAUGCUAAUUUGAUAAUAUUGUUAGUGAUUUUUGAAAAUUGAAUCAUUCAAAAUUUCAUUUAUAAAAUUAUUUAAAGUCAAAGUUAUCAAAGUUCAUGUAUAAUUUUGAUAUUUAUACUUAAAUAAAACACCAAAAUUAACAUUUAAUAGCACAAUUUUAACAAAAGAAUUAUUUUACUCUUUCAUUUAAUGUACAGGAAUUAAUUUGUCCAUUUUUUCAAUAAAUAUACCAAAAUGUAAUAUAAAAUAUAGUACAAGAACUGCUAUGAUAGUUGAGAUUAUAAAUUUGAAUAAUUUUCAAAAAGAAAAAAAAAGGUCCAUAUAAAACAAAACAAAGAAUCCACAAAGGCAUAACCUAAAACACCUAGAGGAGGUUGUUUAAACAAAAGUAAAAUGUCUCCAUUACUGCAAUUCAAUUUUGCAAGAAAAUCUGCAACUUUAUUAUCUUUUUUGGGCACAUGUUGGAUGUGCCAUUGUACUGUCCUUUCCAACAAUUGGUGUAUACGCCUAGCCAAAGUUGAAUUAAAGUUUCUUGAGUUGUUAACUUGAAUAAUCUGAACUGCUUCCAUACAAUUUGUACUAAUCAACACUCUAUUAAAUCCUUGCUUCAAUAGAAGAGACAAGCCUUCAAAAAUAUUGUAACACCCCUCACCCGUAUUCAAUGCCAAAAUAAGGUUACGAAGCAUUAUCGGACUUAUAACACAUAUAGACAUUCAAUUCACAUAUAAUUUCACAAUUUAUGCAAACAUUAAUCAAACUCAAGCAUAAUGUCCUUAUAAUGAGCCUACGAGGCCCUAAACAUACUUUGGGAGUGGUUUAGGACUAAACCGAUAACUUUAGAAACUUUCACGAAACCUAGAAAUUUGUUUCUCAAAACAGGGGACACAUGCCCGUGUGGCCCGCCCGUCUGUCUCACAUGGCCACCAGAUACGCCCGUGUCACAAGCCGUGUAGACAUUCGAAAUGGGAGCACAUGGUCGUGUCCCAACCCGUGCCCGACCCCGUGUAACUCUCUGACUUAGGUCACACGGCCAACACAUACGCCCGUGUGCCUUAAAAAUGGCCAUACACACCCUUGUACCAGGCCGUGUGCUAGGCCAUGCCAAACCUGUGGGUAUACUGACUUAUGCCACACGGCCAAGUCACACACCCGUGUAAAGCAUACUGACUUGGUUUCAAAUUCAACACUAGGGAACACACGGCCGUAAAACAUAAUCGUGUGUCGCACACGGCUGAGACACACGCCCGUGCCUCUGCCCGUGUGGACAAAAAUAGGCUAUUUAUCAAGCCAAUUUUGCCACCCAAAUUUAGGCACACCUAUACAAUUCAUAUGGCACAAAACAUAGCAUCAAUAGACAUAUAAUUCAAUUCCAAAUCAAGCAUAAUUUAUACCAUUUCCAAUACCAACCAAUGCAAAACAUAAAUACCACAUUAUGCCAUCUAAGUUUAUACCAAUCUUUAUUUUUUUUCAAUUCAUCAAAAUGACCAUUAACAAAUAUGCAUCAAUAUGCUCAAUUCGACAAACAUACCAAUUCACAAAUCAUCACCUAUUGACAUUCAAAUUACCUAUUAUCAACAAGUAUCAUGAAUCCAACCUUAAUCAUUCAACACAUUUCACAAAGCAUAGACAUAUAUAUAUACAUGAUUUAACCAUACCAAAAUAACUCAAAAUAAGCCAUCACUCAUAGUUAUAUUUACAAACCAAAACAUAUACACUUACAAGCCAAGUCAAAAGGCCAAAAUCAUUACCAAAACUUAACCAACAUAACCAAAAUCCCUAUACAUACCAUAUACUUAAAACAUAAGCUUUAAAGUACCAAAUCGAUAGUAGGAUAGUGUGACGAAAUCUCUGACGAUCUUCGAAUCCGUGCUUGUUUUGAAUCCAUUAUAAAACAUAGAAAAAAAUAAACGAUGUAAGCUAUAAAGCUUAAUAAGCUCAUAUGAAAUAAACUCGAUAUAAUUAUAAACACAUAAUUCAACAAUUGAUUAUAAAUACAUGAAUUCACAUCAACUAACAAACCUUUCAAUUACUCAUUUACAAAACUAUAUAUUUUCUUCACCAUUUCUUCGAUUCAAAGCUAAUAUGGUUUAUGCACAUUCCUGUACCAUCUCGUACUAAACUCAUUCUCAACCACAUCAUUCAUUUACCUAUUGAACCAUUCAGAAUAGAAGUCGGAUACUUAAGAGUCUCGCACAAUAAGUACCUAUACCAUGGCCCGAAGCCAAAUCAAGGUACCUUAUAUCAAAAGUAGUGAUAUUAUUGCCAGAAGCCAAAUCAGAAUAACUCGUACCCAAAGUGCUAAUAUCAUGGCCCGAAGCCAACUCAACGUAUCCUCUAAUGACAUGUCACUAGUAUCCUAAACUAUUCCUAAGGUUUAACCGGGAUUUCGUGUGCCGAAUUACCCUUGAGUCAUUGAUGAAUUUGUCCGAAGUAUCAUAUUCGCAGUUUAAGAAAUAUCAAAACAUUUAAAAUACAUUUAUAAUGAAAUUUAUCGCAUACGAACUUACCUCGGAUGUGAAAACGACGAAAUAGGUCGAUUAGCUGAUAACUUUAGUUUUCCCCCGAGCCAGAUCCGAAUUUUACUUUUCUUGAUCUAAAUAUAUUCAAAUUUAACUUAUUUAAUAAUAUCUCUAUUAAAUUUAAUAAAAAAUACACUUUUAAGCACAUUUACACAUUUGCCCCUAAUGUUUCACCACUUUUACAAUUUAGUCCCUAGGCUCAUAAAACAAAAUUCAUGCAAUUUAAUCACAACCCAUACUAGCCGAAUUACUAUUAUACCCCUAGCAGCCCAUAUUUUUCAUUUAUUUCAUAUUUUAACCACUAAAUUUACACAUUUCACAAUUUAGCCCCUAAUUUGCAUUUUCACUAAAAAUCACUUAACAAAACUUGUAUAUAUAUCAACAAGCAUUCAUAAUCUAUCAAGAAACUUCAAAACUCAUGCUUAAUCAUCAAUGGCAUCAUUCAAAAUCUUUAACAAUUUUGCAAAUUAGUCUCUCGGCUAGCUAGACCUAAUUACAACGAUCUCAAAAACGUAGAAAUCAUUACAAAUGAGACAAAAACAAACUUACAAUUGAGCUAGAAGGUAACCGAAUGCUUCAAAAGCCCUAAAAAUGGCUUUUUCUUUGCUAAAAAUCGGCUAGGAAGAUGAUAGCCUUCAAAAUUUUUUAUUUUGUUUUAUUUAUUAUACUUAAAUAACCAAAUUACAAUAUUAACCUUUAAUAUAAACCAUUAAAAUUCAUUAAUGCAUGUCCAUCUUUGUCCACUAACACUAAAAAUGGUUUAUUUAUCACAUAAGGACCUCUACUUUAAAGUUUCAUAGCUAUUAGACACCUUUAGGUAAUAGAACAUCACUUUUGCAUUUUAAGUGAUUUAGUCAUUUUUAUCGAAUUAAGCAUUCAAAUGAUAAAAUUUCUUAACAAAAAUUUCACACAAUCAUAUUUUCAUACUGUAGACAUUAAAAUAAUAAUAAAAUGAAUAUUUCAACUUCAGAUUUGUGGUCCCAAAACCAUUGUUCUGAUUUGACUAAAAACGGGCUGUUACAAAUACCCUAUAGAUCAAACUCCAAUACUGAACAUACUCCCCAAAACUUAUUCAAUCAUAAGAUUCAAUUCCCUUUCAUGUCACGCAUAACUCCCUUGCAACAGCAGAACCCGAGUCUGCUUGUACCGUGCCAUCCAUGUUUAAUUGAAUCCAAUUACCUGUUAAUAUCGGGUGGGAAAUCAUUGUAUUCCUCUUGGUCACAUCCACCUUACCCACAGAGAAAUACUACGUAGCCCAACUAUAUGAGGCUAUAAUCACUUCGUCAACACUCCAUGAGACUCCUUGAAACACAUGUAAAUUCCAAUUUCUCCAAAUAUUCUCCAAAUAUGCCAAGUGAUUAACCCAAAAAUGCAAGACCAAUCCACCUCCCCAAACCAAAUUCGCAAUUGAUUCUGCAAAUUAGCCACAAGCCAUACUCUCAAAUCUCUAGAGAAAAACCAUCUGCGCUUAUCUUCAGGAAUCACCUAUAUCUUUAGUUGCUCUACAAUCUCUGAUAACAUGUAAAACAUCCUCAGAUUCAUUACCACAAAAUCCACAUGAACUGAUACUCACUAUCCCUCUCCUCACGUGUUCGACAUUAGUAAGAAGUCUUUCUUUAAACACUAUUCAAAUGAAGAAUAUAACUCAUUGUAGACCUUGAAGUUUCCACAAAAUUUGCCAUAAUCCGUCAUUCAAAUUCCACGCCAUUUCGCGAAGUUUCUAGUAAGCAUUUUUAAAAGAGCAUGCACCAAUUGGAGAUCUAGCUCAUAUAACUUUAUCCUGGCCUACAGAAUGGUGCGGAUGGGGGAUCCCUACAAUCCUCUUAACAAUAUCCUUCUAUAACUAAAAACGAGAAAGAUCCAAAUUCCAACUACAAUCUUCUAUAACCAUAUCCAUAAGAAAAUAAUCCCUAUCAAGAUUAGCAUGUGAAGGGAUUCUUCUUACCAACGACCCAACAUUUGGAAUCCAGGGAUCCAACCAUCAUUUAACACUACAACUAUUUCUCAUAGACCAACUUAAGUUUACACGGAUUAGAGGCCAGGCCUUUGAAAGGGCCCUCUAAAGAAACAAGCAUUUUCCCUUCGAAAUAUCCUCUGGAAUCCUGUCUUGAACCUUGUACUUUGACUUUAGGAAACGUACCCAAAGAGCAUUGGAGUUCGUCAUGAACUGAUACCCAAGCUUAGCCAUAAAGGAACAAUUUUGAUCCUAUAGAUGUCUAAUGCCCAAUCCCCAACAAGAUCGGGGUUGACAAAUAUCCUCUCAUCUAACCAUUGCCAUCUUCCUUUUCCUAGUCGAGGAUCCCUAUAUAAACUAUCUAACUAUACUUUCUAUUUCAGCACAAAUACCUUUAGGGACCAUUAUGUAUUGCAUGAAGUAACUUGGGAUCGACAAUAAGACAGAUUGUGCCAGAGUGAACCUUCCUGCUAGAGACAAUUGUUUAACAUCCCAACUGUACAGCUUACUCCGAACCCUAUCAACAACAAACCUCAAGGUACACUUAGUAACUUUAACAUGAAAAAGGGGCGUUCCAAAAUACGUACAUAGGUUUUGGUGUAACACUAUUAACCCCGUCCCGUUACUGGAACAGGAUUACAGAGUAUUACCAGUCAUUACAGUACAUUUGCACAUAAACAAGUAUAAAUACAAUAUUAUCCAUCUAAAUAUAACUUUAAUGGGUCCACAGUACUUUACAAGUGUAAUUAAAACAAAUCGGGAUUCGAUCGGAAGCUUAGGAAAUUUUUCGUGAAAUUUUAAAUUUUCUUCUUUUGAAUAGUACCACACGCCUGUAUGGCUAGUUUAACAUGCCCGUGCGGCUUAGGACACGCCCGUGUCCUCAACCCGUGUGCAACACUGACUUUUAAACACGACCAUGACAUAUGUCUGUAUGGCCUGCCCGUGUACUAAACUAACUUUAAGACACGACCGUAGCAACCAAGGUAUAUGCCCGUGUACUAACUUGGUUGUAACAAUUUAAGUGCAAGGGACACACGACCUAACAACAUGCCUAUUUGCAAGCCGUGUGUCUCACACGGCCUGGUCACAUACCCGUGUGACAAACCAUGUGAACUCAAAAUGAACUUUGUAUUUUUAAAUUUACCAACCUUGCAAACUGUAGACAACAAGCAUUUCAAAAUUUCUCCAUUCAACCAGUCUAAACACAUUUUAUAUGCUAUCCAAUUUUAGCAAUAAAUCAUUCAUCCAAUGUACCCUCAGUGGUACCACAAUUUAUAUCAAUUAAACAUUAUCAUACUAACCUAAUUAAUUUUCUUAGGUUUAGUCACCAAAAUUUACAUGUUUCAUACAUAAUUCAACAUCUUUAUAUUUUUUUUAUUACCAUUUACAAAUAUUAACUUAAUGACCUAGGUACAUGCCAUUAUCAACAAUUAACAUGUGUUACCUUAUUGAGUUCGAGAUCGGCCUGGGAUGCUGAUUCAACAUUCUAGCUUUAAUCUAACCUGCGCACAGAAAUAAACCGUACGCUGAGUAUGAACUCAGUGGUAUUUCUAUAAUCUGAACAUUUAAAACAUAACUUACACUUAUUGUCCUAUAAUAAUUAUAAAUAUUCAUUUAUUCAUUUCAUAAGCAAUUUCUUUACAACUCAUUCAACCUUCAUUAUCUAAUAACUUGAUUAAAAUUUUCAUUUAAUUCACAACAAUAAUAUUCUCUAUUCAUAUGUCUUACUUAUGUUUCUGUUCACUAUUCAAUAUCAGUAAACAUAUUUCAGUAUCGAUUAAUUUUUCAGAUUCUUUCAGUAACAUUUAGUCAUUCGAAAACAAUUAGUUAUCCAGUAACAAUUAUUCGUUCAGUAGCGAUCUUUUACUCAGUAUCAAUCAAUUAUUCGAUGACAAUCAAUAUUUUUCAAUAACAAUCAUUUAAUCAUUAUUAUUCAAUAGCAGUCAUUUAUUUAUUCAGUUACAGUUAAAAAUUUGGUAGCAGUAAAUUUUCAAUACCUUUAUUUGCCCUAUUAACAUGACUCGGACCUAUACGGAUACACGGAUCCAAACCACACACUGAGGAUAGUAUACAGUGUUUCAUUGGCUGAAGCCGAAAUACACCGUAAAGGUAACAGUAACAGUAACAGUAACAGUAGCGGUAGCGGUACACAAAGUACCUCAUCGGAACAAAUCCGAAACAGUAACAGUAACAGUCACAGUCAGCUACAGAGUACCUUUUCAGAACGAAUCUGGAAACAGUAACAGUAGUCGACACUUAUAGUGUCUCAUCGACACACAGUCGGAAUAUCCCUAAACACUUCCAAUCCUAUGGCAUGCCAACUAUAUCCGACUAGCCCGAUACAGUUAAUUGUAAACUUUCAAAAUUUCAAUUUCAUUCGUAAUUUAAUUUCAAUUCAAUUUAAUACAUUUUUCCGUCUCAAUCCACAUGCAAUUCAAUUGCAAUACAAUAUAUAUUUUGAUUCAUUUCAAUAAUCAUAAAACACAAUAAUGCUUACAUUAAUUACUUACCAUAACAUUCAAUCAAAAUAUAAUAAUUAACAAUUAAAUUUCACUUUUCAAUGCAUCAACCUACACAUUAAAUAAUAAAUUCAACAAUUAAAUAUUAAGUUCGGAUUAUAGAAAUACAAACCGUAAUUUCCGAGUUAACUCCCGUUGUCUGUGCCCUUUUUUCCUUGCUUAGCCGAGAUUUUCCUGGAACAACGUUAGCUAUGGAAAUCAAUUAAAAAUUAUCAAUACACUACCAUUCAAUUUUCUCAUUGAAUAUUUCAAUUUUUAUUCAUCUUUUGCCUAAAUUCCAAUUUAGUCCUUAAACCGAGACUAACUUUUAUUCUUCACAUUUAACUCAAUAUUUUCAUUCAAUUACAACUUUAGACUAAUUUCAAUUCUCUAAUUUCAGCAUAAAACCAUAAUUUCAAAAUUCUUUCGAUUUAGUCCUACUAUUCAAAACUUAUGAAUUACUUUACAAUUCAAUUCUUAUCUCACUUCUAACUUGAAUUUCUAUCAAUUUAAUCCCUAAUUCAUCAUUUUAUUCAACAUAAACAAUAUUUAAAAAUCUAAUAACUUUCAAUAUAUCAAUUUAAUUUCAUCAAAACCUUGUUCCAUGACUUCCAAAAUAUCAAAAUUAAAUAAAAAAGGCUAAAUUGACUUACCUAUUAAACUUCCAAGCUUCAAACCUUGAAUUUUCCCUUUUUUCUUCUUUCUUUUCUCUUUUUCUUCUUUCCUUCCCCUACUCCCUGUUUCGUUUGCUUUGUUUCUUCAUUUCUAUUCUUUUGUUUCUUUUUCAUUUAUUUACUUUAUAUAUAUAAUUUAAUUUAAUAAUAUACUUAUAUAAUAAGUAAACAUACAUGUAUUUUACAAUUGUAUGUAUAUUAGUAUUACACAUGUCACCAUUUGUACCAUACAUUUGUCAACCUUUAAUUUAUUUAAUUUAAUAAUAUAAUAUCAAUUAAAUAAUAAUAACAAUAACAAUAAUAAUUAAAUAUAAAACUAUAAUAAUAAAUAAUAAGAAUAAUAAUUUAAUAUAUUUUAACACAUAAAAAUCUCAGAUUUUUAUGUUUAUGCCGCCUCACUUAGGACAAAUGGUAUAAUUCCCAUUUUUGGUCCUUUUCACUUUCUUUUAAUCUAUAAUUAAACUUCCACACUUCAUUCAAUUUAAUCCUUUUAUCUGAUUAUCCUUAAUUUAAGCUAGUUCACUUUAUUAAACUUUAAUUAACCACUCACUUAACUUCGUAAAUAUUUAAUAAAUAUUUACGAAUCUAUUUUUCAGAAACAAAGACCCGAAAUUGUACUUUUUCGAUAACUGUAAAAUUUGAGUCAUUACAUUUGGACCUUGAGAUAACCAAAAAUACUGCUGAUAUGCUCCCUUAACUCCUCACUAAUACCUUUGGAAAAGAAAAUGUUCAUCUUUAGAGUAUUAACUUUGUGACCAGAAUAACCACAGAAACUUUCCAAUAUACCUUUUAUGAUUCUAGCUUAUUACAUCUUUGCUUGUCCGAAUAUAAUAAGGUCAUCUACAAAAAAGAGGUGAUAAAUGGCAGGCUCUAGAUACAAAAAACCUGAUAGGUUUCUAUUGACCCAUGGUAAUGGUAGACUUAAUACCACGUCCUAACCAUUCUAUGGUCAAAACGAAGAGGUGUGGAGAAAGCAGACACCCUUGCUGAAUGCCUCUAACAAGUCAGAACUUUUUAGUUGGGACACCUUUCCACAUGAUCUGCAAAGUAGAAUUCAUAAUGACAGACAUAAUAACAUUAUUUUCAAAGAAAAUCAAGGAUACCUGCAACCUAAAGAGAAGCAUAGAUAAACUCCCAUCUCACCCGGUUAUAAGCUUUCUCCAUAUCAACUUUAAUAGCAAUCCAAGUUUUAUUCUUCUGCUUGUUUUUCAUGGAAUGAAUAGCUUCCUGAAUAAUAAGAAUAUUAUCCAUGAUGUUCCUUCCGGCAAGGAAUCCAACCUGCUCUUGUGCAUUAAUCACGGGAAAAACUACUUUAAAAUGAUUAGUGAUAAUUUUUAUUCUUAGUUUUUAAAGGACUGAACAAAGGUUGAUUGGCUGAAACUGAAAAAAGGUUUAAGGAUUAUGAACCUUGGGAAUAAGAACAAUUAAAGUGUUAUUCAAAUCCGGAUCAAUAGCUUUAUCGACAAAAACCAACUUUACCCAAUUACAAACCGUGGUCCUAAUAUGUCCCUAUUGAUUCUAAAAGAAUAAAGCGUGAAACCUAUCACUUUCCGGAGCUUUAACCGAAGCCAUAUCAAAGAGGACAAUUCUCAAGCUUAGAAAAUGCAUUAGAUGGAUGUCCUUUCAUAGGUUCAGGAGCCUCCCCAUAUAGCCUUUGAAAAAACUUAAUCGCUUCAACCUAUAGAGCCCCCUCUUCGAAAAUCCACUCCCGAUUAUCAUUCCUUAAAGUAGUAAUCCUAUUAUUCUUUCUCCUUUAGAUUGUAUGCCUAUGGAAAAUUUUGGUAUUCCGAUCACCCAAGACUAACCAAUCACAUUUUACUUUUUGACUUCAAAAAAGUUCCUCAUGAUGAAGGACGCUCUCUAAGUCUUCCCGCACCUCCAUCUCUUGCUAAAUUAACUAAUCAGAAUAUGACCUUUCCAUUACCUUCUGAAUGCUAGAAAAUUUCUAUAACAAUUGCCUUUUACAAUUUUGUAACAAUUGCCUUUUAUAAUAUCCAAUUUGACCGUAGACAGACUUAUUUCAAUUUUUAAUACUGGAAUUAAACUGAGCAAUAGAGGGAGUCAUAUCCCCAUUAUAACUCCAAUUAUUCUUACCAAACUCUAAAAAAUCUGGAUGUUUAGUCCAUCUAGCAAGAAACCUGAAAAGUCUCCCUCUAGGUAGGUUAACUUUCGAUCUAAGAGACAUGAGGAGAGGCUUUUGUUUAGACUUAAUUCUCAGAAGGUGGGACACCAAACAAUAUGGAAAGGCUUUAAUCCAAGCAUUAUUACCUAUUACUCUGUUAAGAUGCUCAUGAGCCCCACCUCUAUGCCAAGUGAAGGAGGGGCCUUUAUAACCCAAAUCAUAAAGGUCAGCAGAAUCCAUAAAAUCCCAAAAGAAUGACACUUUCUCCUAUGAUUCCGCCCAUCCUUCUUUUCACUAGAAGAAAGCACGACAUUAAAAUCACCAAUAACCAUCUAGGGCACAGAAACAUCAGACAUGGUUGCUUUUAAACCCUUCCAAAGAAGCCUUCUCUUCCAUCUAUCUAGACUCCCAUAAACAAAGGAGAUAAAAACAGGAUAUUUUGUAACAUUGGAGAUGACCCAGACCAAUAAAAAUUGUGAAUGAUUCUGGAUAAUCUCAACUUGUAUUGAAUCUUUCCAACCAACCCAAAUACCACUUGAAAAACCAAUAGCUUCCAUAUGAAGCGAGAACUGAAAACCCAACUUGGCAAUGAUACAAUUUCCUUUACUUUCACUAACUCUAGUAUCUAACAAUCCUACUAUAUCGAGCUUAAGCUCUCUAUUAUACUCGCAAAAAAUUUGAGGGAACUUGCUACUCGGGCAAUCUUGACAAUUCCAAGAAAAAAUUGAUAAGUUCAUAAAAUUAAAAAAAUAAGAGGAUGGAGAGAUACUGACAUCUAUCUUUCUUGGCUAGUCGACUCCUUAUGAAGAUUCCCGGCAAUAAUCAUAACAGAUUUUUUCAGAUUUUACCUCA
rnacentral:lncRNA from 1 species